rnacentral:lncRNA from 1 species
CACCGGCAUGCUGAGGAUAUUGUAGCCCCGCGCCCAGAUAUAAUUCAAUCGAAUUCGAGACAUGGUCUUUCUAGAGAGAUCAAUGGCUGUAACUACAUCUUCCAAGUUGCUCUUCAUCAGAACUAUAAGCAGCUUCUAUACGUCGGUGCCAGCACCAAUUGCCAUGCCAACAUCUCCUGCAACAAUGGCCAGAGAGUCAUUAAUUCCAUCUCCCAUCAUUGCCACCGCCAUUCCUUUCAUCUGCAUCCAAAUCCACUUUAACAAGUCAGAAAACACUAUGUUAGAUAGAUAACUCACAUAUCAAGUCAGAAACAACUUAAUAUAGAAAAAUGAGUUUGAAGAUUUGCAUAAGACAUUAUUUUACCCUAGAUAAGUCAUUUGAAAUAUAAUUUAGUAAUCCUCAAUCUGCGUUCAAAACCCGAACAAAAUUACUUGUGGAGCUGGGUAAUUGUAAUCCACUCACACCACCCCUGUAACUAUAAUAUAAUCGUAACUGUAAUUCUUUGAUUCUAUCAGCUUUUCCUAGUGGAUCCGUCUCAGCAUACAGCUUAUCAAUGCCAACCUCCAUCACUCUGGCUGCCGCUGUAGCCCAGUUAUCACCAGUAACCAUGAUGCUUGUAAUGUUUAUCGAGUGAAGAUAAGAGAUGACUCGUGCAGCCUCUAGCUUCACUGGAUCAGUUACAGCAAAAGACCCAGCAAUCUUUCCAUCAAUGGAAACCAACACACACAUUCGAGCUAGAUUAUUAUGUUCUGAAAUGUACUUGUCAACCUCAGGACCAACCUGGACAUUAUUUUCCCGCAUGAGCCUCACCAAUCACCAUUUACCUACAUAUUUCUCAAAUAGAGGCAUGUUAGCAUGAUUGACAAAAUAAUUUUACAAUAGCAUAAUAACAAUGAGGUGUCUCAUCUGUAACUUAACUGUACAAACUAAAACUUUUCAUGUAAAAAUUUGAAACAUAAGCACCAACCUCUGUAACAAUAGACACAACACAGAACUCCUCCAUUGAGUAAUUGGAGAAGAGCACAGCAUUGGCUACUACGGGUUUCCCAACUGCCAGAGUCCCUGUUUCAUAAAAAACAACUAUUUUCACUGGCAGGGAUCAAACACGGCCGUAAACGUCCAGACACCAACAAAGUGUCAAAUACUAAGAAACGUAUCAACCUUCAUGAAUUAGGUACCGUCUGUUCAGCUUUUAAUUUUGGAAAGAACAAAACCCCCAAAAAGGACAAAACAAUUAAUAGCCUUGUCAUAAAAAAAAGGAGUUGGGGUAGAGAGAACUCUCCUUCAAUGAGAGCUGUCAUCUACAAGAAAUGGGGAGUUAAAACUUGGCGAGUACGGCUUGGUGACAUGGACAAGGUGCAUACAGCCAUCAAUCGUCCAGAACCAAUGGGUCAUAUGAGACAGAUUCCAACUAUGAAAUAAUAGUUGCAUGUUCAAUCCCAAUAUAUGCAGGAAGAACAUCCUCCGUACCCAAUGACAUAGAUUGCAUUUAGUUUUAUGUCAAGAGCCUAAACAUUGAUUGAACCAAGGCAGACCGUUUUACUGGUCAGGAAUGAAGUGCAUAACUUGUAAUCAUACGGAACAUUCACAUAAUGUAUGGUGGUAGCAUAGGGGAUAAUAUGAAAUGACCAGAACAAUAUGAGGAGAGCAACUUCAUAAUGGAGGAAAGGAAAGAAAAAAAAACUACACUUGCACCCUCAAGACAUAUAGAGAAUGUAUCUAAUCAGAAAUUGUUUUUUCCUAAACCACAACAAACAGGUUUUCGACGUCCUCAGAAGGAAAAGUAGGAACAAGCAUAAUGAAGCAACUAAACACACCAGCAAAAACAACAUGAAAAUAAAAUGCAUGAAAACCAGAUUCUAAAUUAAAAAAGAAAUUUGUUUCCAAGGAUAAGGUGGUCUUACCUUGUAAGCCUUUUUGAGUACACUAGCAAAAAUGCCCACACUCCGCUGCGGGGACUUCUAGAAGUAUGAUCUUGUACCAUCUGAUUUCUUUUGCCAUUCCUAGUUCUUUUUGGCAUCAUGUGCAAACCCAAAUUGAUAGCUAGGAAGAAAAAAUGAAAACACCUGCAUAAAUUCAAUUUUCCAUCACUCCUAUAUUAUAAUUAAAUAAAGCAAAACACAAUAAUCAUCGCACAAUUACAGAAGCAAGGACUUUCAAAUGCCCCAAUUAGUUAACAACCACUAUGCAUAAUUCUGAAAAAAUGAGUAUAAAAUUAACCUCUUUUGAAAAACGAAGGAAGAAAGAUGAAACCUUAAGCCAAGGAAUAUAACUAUGUUGAACUCAAUUAUUUGACAUUAAUUACACAAACCCAAUUCCAUAUAUAUAGCCAGACAGAAGCUUUAUCCUAGAGAGAAACCAUGCCCAAAUGAUUAUAUAAUCUCCAGACUGAGUGUGAAUUCAGAGCAUGAAGGGGAAGUGAGCUCCUUGGUUCCCACAUUGUAGAGACUAAAUCUCAAAACUUUGCCAAGCAUGACAGGAAACCAUGGAAAGAAUAAAAUGACCACAAAGAUUGCAAAACAAUUAACCACAGGUGGUGUUUAUAUGCCCACUGAGAGAAAAGCUUCUGCAAGUGAAAAAACAGGCAUGUACCAUCUGAAAGAGCCUCUUGUAUCCAUUCCAAUUAUACUUAUGUCUACCAUAUCCCUCUACAAUUCCCCACCACCAAUCAACCAUAACUGAUUUCAAUACCCUUAGCUGCUUUAGUAGACCAUCUGGUGACACCUAACAGACACCAAAAUAAAAGACAAGAUCAAGACCAUACAGAUUACAGACUAAGCUUAAAAACAACUGUUAUCUAUUGAGCAAAACUUGAACUCCUUGACAUGGCAACCUCUUAAUCCAGGAUGUAGAGUAGGAAAGAAAAAUUAUUGACAAACCGAAAAAUAACAAUUUAACUUGCAUAGAAAACGAAUAUUAGAAAAGUUACAUAACUCAAUGGAUUACAUAAACCAGUAAAAAAGCGAAACAUCAGUGUUUGGGAAGUUACCUUAUUUGAAACGUCAGGAGCAUUUGGUGUUCAUACAGGGUAGACAGUCCUUGCAAAAUUCAGGGCUUCAAAAUAAAAUAAAAAAAUAAAUUCAAAACAAAUCAAAACUAUUAAUCCUAACAACUAUUUAGUAAAGGAUAAAACAAUCUUUCCAUCAACCAAAUUUGAGAAACAAGUAAUGAAUGGAAUAACCCAAUUUCUAUCGCCAAUCACCCUUGCUGAAUGAUGAUUCACAUACUUCCUCAUAUUUGUUUAUGGGUUCGUAUCCAACAAAAUUUCGACUUAGUACCCAAAAACUGUAUCAGCUCACGAACACACAGAGGUUUAUCAAAUUGAAAGCAAAACCCACAUAUAUUCUCAAGAUUCUAGAGUUAAAAGAGGAGCAAGGAGGUUCGGUUACAGAACCCAAAACGCUAUUUUAAUGAGCAAAUGAAAAACAUGUCUUUCGAUCGAAGUUGCAUAAAUUACAUAACUUUGGGAUUAAGGAGGAACAACAACAACAACAACAACAAAGCCUUUUCCCACUAAGUGGGGUCGGCUAUAUGAAUCCUAGAACGCCAUUGCGCUCGGUUUUGUGUCAUGUCAUCCGUUAGAUCCAAGUACUCAAGUCUUUUCCUAGGGUCUAUUCCAAAGUUUUCUUAGGUCUUCCUCUACCCCUUCGGCCCUGAACCUCUGUCCCGUAGUCAUAUUUUCGAACCGGAGCGUCAGUAGGCCUUCUUUGCACAAGUCCAAACCACCGGAACCGAUUUUCUCUCAUAUUUCCUUCAAUUUUGGCUACUCCUACUUUACCUCGGGUAUCCUCAUUCUCAAUCUUAUCCUUUCUCGUGUGCCCAUACCUCCCACGAAGCAUCCUUAUCUCUGCUACACCCAUUUUGUGUACGUGUUGAUGCUUCACCGCCCAACAUUCUGUGCCAUACAACAUCGCGGCCUUAUUGCCGUCCUAUACAAUUUUUCCUUGAGCUUCAGUGGCCUACGACGGUCACACAAACACGCCGGAUGCACUCUUACACUUCAUCCAUCCAGCUUGUAUUCUAUGGUUGAGAUCUCCAUCUAAGUCUCCGUUCUCUUGCAAGAUAGAUCCUAGGUAGCGAAAACGGUCACUUUUUGUGAUCUUCGCUAGAUUGCUCCGGUCAUUAGUGUGGAUAAGUAUAUAAAUGGAUAGAGAUAGGAAAGCAAACACAAGAUGUAUGUGGUUCACCCAGAUUGGCUACGUCCACGGAAUAGAUGAGUUCUCAUUAAUUGUGAAGGGUUUACACAAGUACAUAGGUUCAAGCUCUCCUUUAGUGAGUACAAGUGAAUGAAUGAUUUAGUACAAAUGACAUUAGGAAAUAUUGUGGGAGAAUGAUCUCGUAACCACGAAACUUCUAAGUACCGGAGUGUGGUAUCGUCUUGACUUGCCUUAUCUGUCUCAUAGGUAGAUGUGGCAUCUUCUCUGGAAGUACUCUUCCUCCAUCCAGGGGUGGUAUCUAUAACUGGUGGAGAUGCACAAGGUAAUGUAUCAAUUUCACUUGAAGCUUACUUGUAGUUUCAGGCUUGGUCAAGCGCGAUACAAACCAUGUAGUAGGAGUCCCCCAAGUCGCCGAGCUAGGGGAUCUUCUGGAAGAGGUGACAGACAAGGUAAGCAAUCAGAUCUCUGGCUGAUUGUUCACAUUCUCCCUAUCUUGCAGGCAGCAUGAAGGAUAAAGAGAAGAAAAAUGAGAAGAGAUGAUAUGGGAUACUUUUGCUUUUGAAGAAGUAACUUUCCACAGGCUUAUUCUUGAACUGGGCUGGAGGGUUUUCUGGUUUCCUCCAGAGUAUAAGGCCGACUGAAGAAUUUGAGGGUCAAAACAAGUUCAUCAAAUCUAGAGUACGUUCGACCCUGCUGAUAUGGGAUACUUUUGCUUUUGACAGAGUAGUGGAUGUAUCGGCACGUGUGCUGUUACGCUUGUCUCCACAUGCUUCCUUGUAUCCUUCUCACUUGCCCUAUCUGUUCCUCAGGCAGAUGCGGUAUCUUCCCUGGAAGCAUAAGAUGUUGAAGAUGAGUACUCGAGAGCAAUGCCAGGUAAGUAAUCAGGUAAGGGGUUCCAGGCAGUCAGUUCCUGGCUGGAAGCUUGAUUCCAAGUGCUGACUGAUUGCUCUCUUUCUCCUUGUCUUGCAGGUAAGAACAAGGCCAAAGGAAAAGACAGGGAAAAAGCAUGAUAUGGGAUACUCUUGCUUUUAACCCUGAUGAUAUGAGAUAUUCUUGCUCUAGUAUAGCUUGUUUACAGAGGUAUUAUCGGGGGGAAAGAAAGCUGAAUAUUUCGAAAGGCUUCGUUGGGAGUGCCCUCUCAGAUAAGAGGAAGGGUUGAGCAUUUUUGCAGGUCUGCCUGUCCGUUGGGGAUGGAGGUCGACAUAUAUAGGAGUCUCCCUAACAUCAAGUAAUAAUGCUAUUCCUUUACCCUGCUUGGUCAUAGCACGGUAGUGGGAGCUGCCAGCUUCACAUGUUUUAACUCUGUCAGAGCACUUUGAAAAAGUGGUCUGUGGUAUCUGGAAAGCUGAUGUUGCGUUUGAAGAUUACAGACAAGCUUUAUCCAAGGAGAUCGAGCUCUUAAAGUUGGGAAAGUGGUGCCUCUUCGGUUUUUGAACAAGCAAUCCUGUCGGGGAUCUGGCUCUCGAGAUUCGGAGAACGAUGCCUCUUCGAUUUUUGAGAAAGCAAUCUUGCUGGGGGUCUGGCUCUCGAGAUUCGGAGAGCGGUGUCUCUUCGAUUUUUGAGAAAGUAAUCAUGUUGGGAGUCUGGCUCUCGAGAUUCGAAGGGCGGUGCCUCUUCGAUUUUGGAGCAAGCAAUCUUGUUGGGAGUGUUUUCUCGAAUGUGAGUAAAGGUUGGGCAUGUUUGCUAGUCUACCUUGCCACGAAGCACAGAGGUUGACACACAGGGACUUUCCAAUUAUCCAGCAGUGGUACUGUUCCUUUACCCUCUCUUCGAUUUUUUUAGAAAGUAAUCAUGUUGGGAGUCUGGCUCUCGAGAUUCGGAGGGCGGUGCCUCUUCGAUUUUGGAGCAAGCAAUCUUGUUGGGAGUGUUUUCUCGAAUGUGAGUAAAGGUUGGGCAUGUUUGCUAGUCUACCUUGCCACGAAGCACAGAGGUUGACACACAGGGACUUUCCAAUUAUCCAGCAGUGGUACUGUUCCUUUACCCUUGUGGGUAAUAAUAUGGUAGCUAGACCUUCAAAAUUUAUGUGUCUAAACUUUGUUAGUGUUGUUUCUUUGCUAUUCUUUUACCCUUCUUGGUCAGAGCGAUGUAGUGGGAGCUGCAAGCUUCACGUGUCUCAACUUUGUCAGAGAACUUUGGCAAAGUUAUCUGUGGUACCCAUGAGCUACUGUUGCGUGUGGGAAGUGGGUGAUUGAACAGUAAGAUUCAUGUGCUUUUCUACUUCGCCAGAAAUCUUCGACAGAAUGCCCAUAAUUUCCGCAAAGCUGAGUGUGCGUGUGACAGGUGCUGACAAGGCUGGAAAAGUAGGUGCCUCUUCGAUUUCUGAGAUCGGCCCUCGUGGUCUCUGAGCAGCCCAGCUUUUGAGAAAAGCAAGCCUCUUUCGAUUUCUGAGAUCGGCCUUCGUGGUCUUUGAGCAGCCCAGCUUUUGAGAAAGCAAACGCCUCUUCGAUUUCUGAGAUCGACCCUCGUGGUCUCUGAGCAGCCCAGCUUUUGAGAAAAGCAAACGCCUCUUCGAUUUCUGAGCAGGCGCCUCUUCGAUUUCUGAAGCUUCCGUCGAGUGCAGAUUUUUAUAGGGGCUGGCAUUAAGUUCCAAAGCACACUUGAAUCUCCACCAGUAGAAGCUCCAUUCUUGCACUUCUAAGAUCUUGAUUUGUCCGACCUCUUCUCUCUUCAACACCUUUGAAAAUGUCUGGCCCCUCCGACCGUCGUUUUGACUUGAACCUUGUUGAAGAGGCAGCCCGCCUUCUCCAGACAACAUAUGGCGCCCAUCCUUCGUCUCCCCUACUGGUCCUCUUACCGUUGGGGAUUCCGUGAUGAAGAAUGAUAUGACCGCUGCGGUGGUGGCCAGGAACCUUCUCACUCCCAAAGAUAACAGACUACUUUCCAAACGGUCUGAUGAGUUGGCUGUUAAGGAUUCUCUGGCUCUCAGUGUUCAGUGUGCAGGUUCUGUGUCUAAUAUGGCCCAACGCCUAUUUGCUCGAACCCGCCAAGUUGAAUCAUUGGCGGCUGAAGUGAUGAGUCUCAAACAGGAGAUUAGAGGGCUCAAGCAUGAGAAUAAACAGUUGCACCGGCUCGCACAUGACUAUGCUACAAACAUGAAGAGGAAGCUUGACCAGAUGAAGGAAUCUGAUGGUCAGGUUUUUACUUGAUCAUCAGAGAUUUGUGGGUUUGUUCCAAAGGCAUUUAUUGCCUUCGUCUUCUGGGGCUGUACCGCGUAAUGAAGCUCCAAAUGAUCAACCUCUGAUGCCUCCUCCUUCUAGGGUUCUGUCCAGUACUGAGGCUCCGAAUGAUCCCCCUCCGGUGCCUUCUCUUUCUGGGGCUCUACCGACUGCUGAGACUUCUCCUAAGCAACCUUUGUGAAGGCUCCCUCUUGUUUGUUUAUUUUGACUCAUGUAUAUGUACAUAUUUGUAACUUAUCGGGGAUAUCAAUAAAUAAGCUUUCCUUCAUUUCAACGUAUUGUGUUAAAUACACCAAAGCCUUCUUCGCUAAGUUCUUUGAAUUUUUCUUUUGUUGAAGCUUGUAUGUUGAAGCUUUGUGAGUGGAGCAUGUAGGUUGAGGGUAGUGUUCCCUUAAUUUCCCGAGUGAGGAAAACUUCUCGGUUGGAGACUUGGAAAAUCCAAGUCACUGAGUGGGAUCGGCUAUAUGAAUCUUAGAACGCCAUUGUGUUCUGUCCUGUGUCAUGUCCUCCGUUAGAUCCAAGUACUCUAAGUCUUUUCUUAGAGUCUCUUCCAAAGUUUUCCUAGGUCUUCCUCUACCCCUUCGGCCCUGAACCUCUGUCCCAUAGUCGCAUCUUCUAAUCGGAGCGUCAGUAGGCCUUCUUUGCACAUGUCCAAACCACCGUAACCGAUUUUCUCUCAUCUUUCCUUCAAUUUCGGCUACUCCUACUUUACCCCGGAUAUCCUCAUUCCUAAUCUUAUCCUUUCUCGUGUGCCCACACAUCCAACGAAGCAUCCUCAUCUCCGCUACACCCAUUUUGUGUACGUGUUGAUGCUUCACCGCCCAACAUUCUGUGCCAUACAGCAUCGCCGGCCUUAUUGCCGUCCUAUAAAAUUUUCCCUUGAGCUUCAGUGGCAUACGGCGGUCACACAACACGCCGGAUGCACUCUUCCACUUCAUCCAUCCAGCUUGUAUUCUAUGGUUGAGAUCUCCAUCUAAUUCUCCGUUCUUUUGCAAGAUAGAUCCUAGGUAACGAAAAACGGUCGCUCUUUGGUAUUUCUUGAUCUCCGAUCCUCACCCCUAACUCGUUUUGGCCUCCAUUUGCACUGAACUUGCACUCCAUAUAUUCUGUCUUUGAUCGGCUUAGGCGAAGACCUUUAGAUUCCAACACUUCUCUCCAAAGGUUAAGCUUUGCAUUUACCCCUUCCUGAGUUUCAUCUAUCAACACUAUAUCGUCUGCGAAAAGCAUACACCAAGGAAUAUCAUCUUGAAUAUGUCCUGUUAACUCAUCCAUUACCAACGCAAAAAGGUAAGGACUUAAGGAUGAACCUUGAUGUAAUCCUACAGUUAUGGGAAAGCUUUCGGUUUGUCCUUCAUGAGUUCUUACGGCAGUCUUUUGCUCCUUCAUACAUAUCCUGUAUAGCUUGGAUAUAUGCUACUCGUACUCCUUUCUUCUCUAAAAUCCUCCAAAGAAUGUCUCUUGGGACCCUAUCAUACGCUUUUUCCAAAUCUAUAAAGACCAUGUGUAAAUCCUUUUUCCCAUCUCUAUAUCUUUCCAUCAAUCUUCGUAAGAGAUAGAUUGCCUCCAUGGUUGAGCGCCCUGGCAUGAACCCGAAUUGGUUGUCCGAAACCCGUGUCUCUUGCCUCAAUCUAUGCUCAAUGACUCUCUCCCAGAGCUUCAUUGUAUGACUCAUUAGCUUAAUACCCUUAUAGUUCAUGCAAUUUUGUACAUCGCCCUUAUUCUUGUAUAUAGGCACCAAAGUGCUCGUUCGCCACUCAUUUGGCAUCUUCUUCGUUUUCAGAAUCCUAUUGAAAAGGUCAGUGAGCCAUGUUAUACCUGUCUCUCCCAAAACUUUCCACACUUCGAUUGGUAUAUCGUCUGGGCCUACUGCUUUUCUAUGCUUCAUCUUCUUCAAAGCUACAACCACUUCUUCCUUCCGAAUUCUACGAUAAAAAGAGUAGUUUCUACACUCUUCUGAGUUACUCAACUCCCCUAAAGAAGCACUUCUUUCAUGUCCUUCAUUGAAAAGUUUAUAAAAAUAACAUUUCCAUCUGUCUUUAACCGCGUUCUCUGUAGCAAGAACCUUUCCAUCCUCAUCCUUGAUGCACCUCCCUUGGUUUAGGUCCCUUGUCUUCUUUUCCCUUGCUCUAGCUAGUUUAUAGAUAUCCAACUCUCCUUCUUUGGUAUCUAGUCGCUUAUACAUAUCAUCAUAAGCCGCUAACUUAGCUUCUCUAACAGCUUUCUUCGCCUCUUGCUUCGCUUUUCUAUACCUUUCACCAUUUUCAUCGGUCCUAUCCUUGUAUAAGGCUUUACAACAUUCUUUCUUAGCCUUCACCUUUGUUUGUACCUCCUCAUUCCACCACCAAGAUUCCUUUUGGUGUGGGGCAAAGCCCUUGGACUCUCCUAAUACCUCUUUUGCUACUUUUCGGAUACAACUAGCCAUGGAAUCCCACAUUUGGUUAGCUUCCCCCUCUCUAUCCCACACACACUGGGUGAUUACUUUCUCUUUGAAAAUGGCUUGUUUUCCUUCUUUUAGAUUCCACCAUCUAGUCCUUGGGCACUUCCAAGUCUUGUUCUUUUUUCUCACUCUUUUGAUAUGUACAUCCAUCACCAACAAGCGAUGUUGAUUAGCCACGCUCUCUCCUGGUAUAACUUUGCAAUCCUUACAAGUUAUACGAUCCCCUUUUCUCAUUAGAAGAAAAUCUAUUUGUGUUUUUGACGACCCACUCUUGUAGGUGAUCACAUGUUCUUCUCUCUUCUUAAAGAAGGUGUUGGCUAAGAAGAGAUCAUAUGCCAUUGCAAAAUCCAAGAUAGCUUCCCCAUCCUCGUUUCUCUCCCCAAAACCAUGGCCACCAUGAAAACCUCCAUAGUUGCCUGUCUCCCUGCCCACGUGUCCAUUUAAAUCUCCUCAUAUAAAUAACUUCUCCGUCUGAGCAAUUCCUUGCACCAAGUCUCCAAGGUCUUCCCAAAAUUUCUCCUUUGAACUUGUAUCCAAUCCUACUUGAGGUGCGUACGCACUAAUCACAUUGAUAAGUUCUUGUCCUAUUACAAUCUUGAUUGCCAUGAUUCUAUAUCCUACCCUCUUGACAUCUACAACAUCUUGUGUCAAGGUCUUGUCCACGAUGAUGCCAACACCGUUUCUCGUUUUAUUUGUGCCCGAAUACCAUAGUUUAAACCCUGAGUUUUCUAGAUCCUUUGCCUUACGACCAACCCACUUAGUUUCUUGUAGGCACAUAAUAUUUAUCCUUCUCCUCACCAUAACUUCUACUACUUCCAUAGAUUUUCCCGUCAAGGUUCCUAUAUUCCACGUUCCUAAAUGCAUUUUGCUCUCUUGAACUCUACCCUUCUGUCCUAGCUUCUUCACCCUUCCCCGUCUAAUAGGAUCAAAGUACUUCUUUUGUGUGUCCCGUGUAAAGUUGAUAGGAGCAUAUGCUCCCAAACAACUUUGAGUGGAGUCGUUCGAAAAGAAGUUUCUAUAGCCCCCUUGCUCAUUUAACACAGCAUCCGGGUGCCGAUGGAGAUACAGCGACCCUUGCUCACUUAUCACUGUGCUCGGGCCACACAGCGCGCCACUUACGGGUGACGCCCUAGCUUUAGCGCGAUUUCGUUCUGGAUUCAUUUUCAUAAAGAUUCAACGUGAUCAUGGAGUGCCGGCUGUCGACUACCUGACGCCCUCCCCCUCCUCCUUUAUCCGGGCUUGGGACCGGCAAUGUAAGAUAAACUUACACGGCGGAGUUGGGAUUAAGGAGGAACAAAAAGCCCAAAUUCCAAUAAACCAAAAAAAAAAUCGUAUGUAAAUUUAAGCUUUUCCUGUAGAUUGGCAGCAGCAAAACAUGCUGGAUCCAACGGGAGCCACGUGUGAGAACUGGAUGCCCAGCCUUUGACACAUUAUCGAGUGAGUUUAGGGAUCUGGGUUUUGUGUUUGCCGUUGAAUUUUGGAAUGAUCUGGAGAAAUUUGGGUUUUAGGGUUCUAAGGAUUUGAGUGAACCGAAAUUGAUUUGGAUGAGCAACUUUUAGUUUCGAUUCGCGGUGGAGCAAGGAUGAAGAGGUGGAGGAGGAAGGAAUGAAAGACUUAACUUCUAAAGUUUCAAGUGCUUAGCAAAUUUCGAUCAAUGUAUGUUUCAAUACUUCAAAAAAAGGGACAUGCAUCAAAGACUUUUAGGUGGAAAAAAUAUGCAUUGGCUGAAAUGGAGAUAAUUAAGAUUUAAAAUGUUAAAAAUUUUCUUUUUGGCUCACUAAUUAGAUGCAAAAGUGAGACUGUGUGAACAAUUUUACACCCAGAAACAUGAACUACACAGAAUCACAACUGAUCGAACAAUGAGAAAGUAUAUAAGACAAUACACUAUCAAUAGGCUAAAACACUCUAUUAAUUGAUCUAACAAUAGGCUAAUAGGUUUAACUAAACCAUUAGAGACUGCAACAAUGAGAAAGUCUGAAGAUUAAAGUUCUAGUUGAAUAUCUUUGAACCCCUAGGUGUUGGAAACACUUUCAGUAAAUUUGUUCAGGAAAAUAUAGAAACUCAUGAUGCAAUUCCAUCGUCUGGGAUAGCAAAUAUUUACCUGGAAUCCAACAUUAAGCUACCAUUUUUCAUAAGUUUAUUCUUUUUGUUAACUACACUGGAAUUUAUAAAACAAUUUUAGAAAAACUCGAGUCUAGAUAAUGAACUUUUGUUCCAGUUUAAAAAAUUUUGACUUGUGUUCUAAGCAACAUUAUGUAUUCGCAUUUCAAUUGUGAAAGGCAGCAAUAAUCCCUGACUGAAGAUAUUAAAAAUCAGAACUUCUUCUCCAAGUUUUCAUUUAGUUUAUUUCACUUGUCCAUCGGAAUUUUAUGCAAAGAAGAUUAAAUAAAGACAAUAGCAUGCCAAAGAUUAAAACCCCUCAUUUCAAACUCUGCUAAUGCACAACUCUGUUUGGUUUUCUUCUCCAGAGACCAGACUGAGUGAGGAGUCAAGUUCUCCAGUGCACCAACAAUCUCCCGUUCGAGCAGCCAUCACCACCUCACUUGCCACUCCGGCGAGGCACCACCUUGCCACCACCCUCAUGUCUCACUCCCUCUCUACCACUCUCCCUAUUUCCCUCACCUCUUUCUCUCGAUACUGUGCUCGCUGCACAGAAACAGCAAGGCAACCACCGUCGCCUUUUUUCACAGCGAACUACGCCGUAACGAAACCAUCACCAUUAAUCUCGCUACCUAGGCGAGUUUUACCACCCUCUGCAAACUGCCUUCAUGCCUUCUAAUUUCAAUUCUUGCAUUUCUUGUAUGGUAUCCAUGUCUUGCACAUUCAAAUACUUAUAUACCGACUGAGAAUAACAAUAUAAAUCCCACACCCACCUCUUUUUCCCCACUUGAAAAAAUCACCUAAAAACAACAUUAACCACCAUAGUUUAAGAAUCCAAACAUGGCUCCAAAUUUCAAUCUAAUUAAUUAAAUUACAGAGGAUUCUACCUACCUCAUGAAAACAAAUAUGUUCAAUUAAAGAAAUUCCCUAACCAAUGCAGUGCAUCUUAAACUACUUCUUAACUAUGUCAGCCAUACCAAUCUAAUAAAAAAUCCAUGUUUCAAUCGAUUCUUAUUAAUUCCAACUCCAAGUAUUUCAGCAUCUAGAUUAUAGAAAAAUCAUAACAAAACAAAACUCAAUCUUGGUGCUAAAGCACACUUCGUUAACCUCACCUUCAUCAAGUCCAUGAUUCCUGCCAUGAGAUCUUUCUCUUAAUCCAGACUUGGCUUCAGAUGCAAGAUCAAAAUAACGAAGCAUUCAGUUCCAUUUCUACGCACAGCAAAUUAAAAAUUGAAAUAUGUUAUAAUUUACUCGGAAUCUUCAUAAGUAUCAUCAAAACAUAUAAACAGAUACAUUUGAAAACUGAUAAAGCUACCUAAUUAAGUUGAAAAGUUGCUAAUUAAGAUCAGGUGCCAGUGCAUCCAGUGAGCCUUCCAAGGAAAGAUGGCCCCAUGGACUUAGACCUUGAAAACUGAGGCUUGUUUUGCCUUGUAAUUGUAUGAUCAGUAGCAUUCUUAUGGAUUGUAAUUGUAUGAUCAGUAGUAUCCUUAUGGAUUCCCAGAUGAAUCCUCAAAAUUUUGUUCUCAUCUGUUAGCUUAUGCACAUGGGACAAAAGCCGCUCAAUUGUUUCACACUUCUCCUUGUUUCUCCUUAUCAACUCAGCUCACUGCUGCAUAUUUCGUCAAUGAGUUUCGAGAUCUUUUCAUGCAACAUUUUAUCUUUUUCAACCACAUUACCAUCAGAUUCUACACCAUGAUCAAUACUCUCUUUUUCCAAAUAUUCUUCAAAAGUACACAAACCAACCUUUUUUAGGACAGACCAGCAUUUGUUUGUUUUGAUGGCUCUGAAUUUGGUUUCCGUUUUCUCUUUGUGGUGGUCUGAUCAAGAUGCAGUCCAAAAACUAAUUUGAGUGCCUACACAGAUGAACAUCGCAUAAAAAUCAAAAAUAAAAAACAGCAGCAGAGAUAAAAAAAAAGACAAUAAUUCUAAAAAAAUUUAAAUCAAAAGCUUAAGACUAACUCACAGGAAGUUCUGUGAGUUAAUUUUUUGGGCAAAAAAAAAUUCUAUUAAUGCAUUCUCAUACAAAAAAAAAUUCUUUAAAUACUGAUUUCAUGCGAUCCAGGAGCUAAGUGCUUAAAUCAGAAAAAUUUCUUUAACCCAGAUACUCUUAUAUUGCAGUGCAGCAAAGUUUUUCUUGAACGCUGACGAAUAUCACUCUGAAAUUAACCCAAAUAUAUCUCAGAGAUUGCAGAGAUUCAGACAAUCAAUAAUAAGAUGGCCGGAAUGUUCUUUAUUCAUUUGUCCUCCAUACUCUACCCUAAUCUUCUUAGGAUUUUAGUUAAACAACUUGCUCCUGUAACAGCUAUAUUAAAGCAUAAAUAUUCAUGAACACUCAUCACCAAUAGCAAAAAGGCAUAAAGUAUUUUUACAUAAAUCUAAAGAUCCCUUUUGUGUCCCAAACCCAGGUCUGUCCUCUCUUUGCCUUCCUCCUUCAGGGCAUAAUUAGAGAUACCCACCAACAGUAUAACCAGAAAAAUUGCAGUGAGAUUUUAAAGUACGAACUUUAUUUGAUAUUGCAAUGAAAUAUAACAAAAUGUAAAAAAAUUGUUAUUUUGGUAAUAGACAGUGGAAUAACAGAAGAAGCCGAACCCAGAAAAAUUAAAAACACAUAAUCACAGUAGAAGAAGCAAACCCAAGAAAAUACAUAAAAUAAAAUAAAAGGGUGCAACUUUUAUUGGCGGGUGAAUGAGUAGACAAUAAAAAAAAGUGCAAACUUUGAGUUCAAAACAAACCUCGUACCAUUGAAAUUUGAGACUUGGAGUCGCCCACGUGAAGGGUUUUAUGAGAAGACAGUAUUAGGCGUGCUGAAGUUAGUUUAUGCUUUUAGUUGUAAAUUCACAUCUAAUACUAGUUGAACACAAAUUUCAGCAAAUACACAGAAGAAAUAGCAAGAAUUCAUUUCAGAAAUGGGAAAAAAUUAAAUUAAAAAUAGAAAACAAAGGGCCGAAAAGCUGCAUACCUAAACACAAUUUCAUAUCUUUUUAUCCUCUUCGAGUACCGAUCCAUUCCAGAGAGAGGGAGAGAGGAGGAAGGAGACGACGAAGGGGGAGAGGAGGGAGAGGAAGGCGAGAGGAGGAAAACGACGGAGGCGAUUUACUGUCUGUGUUGUUCUCGCGGGGACUGCGAGAUGAACGAGGUGAGGAAUGACCAGGUGGCUCUGGGCUCAAGGUCAGUGAAGCAGUGGCGAAGCCAAGAUUUACCGAGGGGAGGGGAGGGGCGAAAUUCAAAAGAGUGCAAAGUUAUCGAAUGGUUGCUUUCACAUUGGAGAGUGUAAAGUUUUGAGUCAAUAUUCAUAGCAAAAGAUAGUUUUGCAUCAAAGUUGUUGUAAGCAAUAAUAUCAAAACUAAUGUAAGAAGCUUAAAUUGGCAAAGAUUAUAUCGUAAAAAAUAUUGUGUGCUAGUCAAAUAGUGGACCUAGCAGACCUAGGCGAUAUCUAAGCAGAAGCCUAGAUGGAUUUAAAUUAUCGUAAAAUAAGUAUUAAACAAUAUUUACAUUGUUUUUAAAAAAUAAUACAAUAUUUAUAGAUAAUGUGAGAGUUUAAGAAAAUACGGUGAGAGUCUUAAAAGAGAAAAUAAAAGGGAAGUGUUAUUGGCACUCCAAAAAUCUCAUUCUACACUCCUCACAAGUGUAUUUUUAUUUCUAAAUAUAGAAAAUUUUGAAUGUAGAAUGAGAUUUUUAGAGUGCCAAUAACAAUUCCCAAAUAAAAAUACAUACACGAACAAAAAUUUGAAAAAAAAGAGAGAAAUAGGUUAAUAAGGACAAUACUUGGGUACUGCCUUUUUUCAAUGACUACAAUGUCACUCAGUAAAGUUAAAACAUGUGUCCUACUUUUCUUAUUAAAACUAGCAACCAAACACCCUCGUGUUUAAGGAAGACGGGCAUCCAAACAACCCAUUUAUUCCUUUCGUCCCUAACAUCUCCGCACGUCUGUAUACCAUGGUUUCCAUUGCUCUCAUCAUCACCACUCCAUUUCAAACAUAAGCACAAACACAAACAAUAAUCCAGCAAUAAUUUACCCAUUUGAAAACCCAAUUUUUUUUUUCAAAUCUGGACAAACAACCAAAUUUCAUUGCGACCCGCCACCAAUCCUUAUCUCCUUCGGUGACCCACCACCAAUCCUUCUCUACUUCGACGACCCACCUCCUCUCACUCUCUUCUACAGAAAGACUAACUCCUUGUCCUUCUCUUGAACGACGGCGAUUGCUGAAGACUGUCUCCCCCACAGCAAUAGAAACCAGAUCACUGGAGCGGGAAUUCUCAUUUCCGACGAGAGCGGAGGGGCUGAACGAGCGCUCUUAGGCAUGUUUUCCGGCGAGGGGAGUGGCGGCCGCCACUCCUUACCCUCACGUAGCUUCGCCACUGUCAGUGAGAAAAUGAGAGACCUAAACGGCUAGGUUAGAAAUGAGAGUAUGGGUUGAGGGGCACAGAAGAUCUGGAAAUGAUUUUUACCUUUCAAUUUGGAAAUGAUUUUUGCUGACCACUGUCAUGUUCCGUGAUUUCUUCCAUCACAAGAAAUCAAGUUGGGCUCAAAUUGUAAUAGUUUGGGUUCAAUUUGCAAUUUACAGCUUUUAAGUGGUAUUUUAUUUUAGGGUUAAUAUCAGUUUACUAUCCUGAAAUUUUGUGAUUUUCAAUAUUUGGUACAUGAAAUUUUUUUCAUCCCAGAGUCAUACCUCAAGACUUAAUUUUGGGACAAUUUCAUACAACCGUUAGAAAUUCUGUUAACUAAUGACGUGGUGUUCACGUGGACAAUAAUUGAGCGCCAUAUGCCAAUAUUGGCCCACUCCAAUAUUAAAAAAAAUUAUAAAAAAAAAAAAAAGAAAACCCAACCUUCCCUCACCCACCCCCUCCCCCGGCACCCUCUCCCUCUGUUCUCUCUUCUGCAAGUCCCAGCACCUCUCGAUUUUCCUUCAAUUUGACCCAUUUGGGACUGGGAGCCAAAUUAGACUAGGAGUUGGAAUUUGAGGUUCCAGGGGAAAUGGGGAAGACCCAGAUGGCAAUCUGAUUCACCAUUGGAGAUAAAACUGAAUCUGGAUAUUUGCACAGUGCAAAGCUCAGAUCCGUUCACAAUCAAGCUAUUACAGAAGAAGACUUGAGGUUUGGACUUGCAGGCGGCAACGUUGGCCAAUGUCCACACGUUCAGGCAGAGGCUGGUGACCUCGACGAGGAUCAGAAGGGAGAGAAUGGCGGCUGCACUGUGCGAAGCGACGCAGCAGCAUGUGAGGAAGAUGAAGAGUGUGAUGAGGAUGACAGCGAGGGUGAUGUGGGCGAGGAGAACAGAGGCGUGGAAUUGGAGAAGAGAGAAGGGAGAAGCGAGGGAAGAGGUGAGGGUUGCAGAAGAGAGAAAUGAUGGAGAUGGUGCGGGGGGGUGAGGGACGGGUGGGAUUUUAUUUUUAUUUUUAUUUUUUUUGUUUUUGUGUUUUUGUUUUUAUUUUUUUAAUUUUUUAAUAUUGAAGUGGGCUCAUAUUGACAUGUGGCACUCAGUUAUUGUCCACGUGGAUGUCACGUCAUCAGUUAACAAAAUUUCUAAUGGAAAACUUAACGGAUGUAUGAAACUGUCCCAAAAUUAAGACUAGAGGUAUGACUCUGAGAUGAAAAAAAAAACUUCAUGCACCAAAUGUUGAAAACCACGAAAUUUCAGGAUAGUAAACAGAGAUUAACCCUUUAUUUUACUAGUUUCUUUGUUAGUGACAAGUGGCAAGACAGACAUGUGUAAUGGGUUGGCUAUAUAGCCACACUCUCUCUCUUCCAACUGUUAGAAUGAAUUUAAUAUAAUUUCACAAAAGCUGAGCUAAUCUCUUUCCUUCUUCCUUCUCUAUUUAUGUAUCUUGCUCGGUCAAGGUUGAACGGUAGUUUGAAGUUGGUGGGUAUCUUGCAAGUUCCCUCAACUUUAGACUAUGGUAAUGGUCUAUCCAUUUAUACCUGUGGGUGGUGGUAGUGCCUAGUGGUGGCUUGCUGUUGUCUAUAAAAUGUGUGGCCUUAUGCUUGUUGUAAAUAAUGGGUAUGUUUGCCCACAUGUGUGUACUAUAUACUCACAAGCUAAAUAGUAAUGUUUUGUAAUUUUCCAUUGAAGUGGCUCUAUAAAUAGAGCACUUCAUUUGUGCAAAAGAGGGAUAUAAGAAGAAGAAAUAAAAGAGAAAUAUAUCUAAUAGCAAUAAUAUACAUUACUUCCUCAGCAACAGCUUGUGUUGGUAUAAUACUCUGCAACUGCUUCGUUCCUGUCCCGAGUAAAGGUUAUCUCUCUAUAAAUUUUGCCUAUUUAUAACACGUUAUCAGCACGAGUCUCUAAGUAUAACCAUGUCUCAUUUACAUUCACUAAACAAUAAAGGAAAUCAUUCUCUCUUUUCUCUCCGCCGAACGAAAAAAAAAAAAAAUGUUUCCUCUAAGGUUUUUCCUGUUCAUCUUCUUCAUCUGCCUCAACUGCGCGGUAUAUCCUCGUGACGAACUAUUUGCUCCAUGCCUGCUCGUAGUUCUCCAACUAGCGGUUACAUACAUCUUUGAUUACUUGUUUGGUUUGGAUAUUGAUUACUAACAUAGUAUUUAUAUUGAUUUUACUGCGAUCCAAGAUGGUGCGGUAUCAUCGCCUAUCUUGGACUGCAGAUCUACUUUUACUGCAAAUUUCAGGUGGAGCGGUAUAAUCGCCCUCCUUGCUCUCCAAAUUUAAAUUUACCUGUUAUUUAAUUUCAUUGCAAUUUUAGGUGGUGCGGUAUAAUCGCCCUCCUUGCUCUCCAAAUUUAAAUUUACCUGUUAUUUAAUUUCAUUGCAAUUUUAGGUGGUGCGGUAUAAUCGUCCACCCUGCUUUGCAUAUUUAAAUUUUAUCGCAAUUUUAGGUGGUGCGGUAUAAUCGUCCACCCUGCUUUGCAUAUUUAAAUUUUAUCGCAAUUUUAGGUGGUGCAGUAUAAUCGUCCACCUUGCUCUACAUAUUUAAAUUUUCCUGCUGUUUAAAGUAGUGCGGAAUAAUCACCCAUCCUAUACUUAUUUCGAUGAGAAUGGUGCGGUACAAUUGCCCUUCUCAUUAAUUGUGUAAAUCUCGAGCCUGAAGUUUCGAGUACUUAUCAUUUUGGCCUGAAGAUCAAAAAUUUGUAAGAACCAGAAGUUCUAACAAUAUAUUUCUCCAGUACACAUAUUACUGCAAGUUCUUACACACCUCAUUUUUCUUUCAGAAAAGAAAAUGGCAAACUUGGCAAAGCUUGAUUUUGCUGCCCUGGACAUUACUGGAAAGAAUUACCGUACAUGGGUACUGGAUACCAAGAUCCAUCUGGAAGCAGCAAAUCUUGGAGAAACCAUCAAGAAAGAGAGCAGCUCAUCCUCUCAAGAUCGGGCAAAGGCCAUGAUUUUUAUUCGUCGCCAUCUUGAUGAGGCACUAAAGAGCGAGUACUUAACGGUUAAAGAUCCGUUAGCCCUUUGGAAUGCCUUGAAAAGCAGAUACAAUCACCAGACAACGGUGAUUCUUCCAAAAGCUCGCUAUGACUCGACUCACCUAAGGAUCCAGGAUUUCAAAUCAGUGGCUGAGUACAAUUCGGCGUUGUUCAGAAUUACCUCUCAGAUGAAACUCUGUGGGGAUACUAUCACUGAGGAGAUGUUAUUGGAAAAGACUUUCAGCACAUUCCACGCCUCUAACAUGGUACUGCAACAGCAGUAUAAAGCGCGAGGCUUCACUGAAUACAACCAGCUGAUAUCUGUGCUCCUGGUAGCUGAACAGAACAAUGAGCUUCUCAUGAAAAACCAUAAUUCCCGACCUACUGGAUCAGCACCGUUCCCAGAAGUGAAUGUUGCUUCCCUUGAAAGGAAUACCAUAUCCUCCCGUGGCAAUAAUUACAAACGAGGAUGUGGCCACAAGCAAGGUCGGUGGAAAGGGAAAAGCAAGAACCAUGGUGUCCAGUUUCACAACCAGGUUCCAAGGUAUAAUCCAGGCCCGAGCUUUAAAAAUACCAAUCGCCAGAAAGGAAAAGCUCAUGUGAACACUCCUAGAAAUCAUGAAGGAGGUUGCCAUAGGUGUGGUGGCAACGGACAUUGGGCGCGUACUUGUCGCACCCCAAAGCAUCUGGUGGAACUAUAUCAAGCCUCCUUCAAGGAGAAGGGUGUCGAGAUCAAUUUCCUUGACCAGGCUAAACCAAUGGAAACCCCUGAUCCAGUGACCAAUUUAUCAGGACAAUUAAACACAACCCACCUGGAUGCUACAGACUUUAUUAAUGAAAGAGGGAAUGAAGUUUAUGGGUCCGAUUGAAUUAUUUAUGUUUAAUGUACUCAUGUUUUUUGUACCUGUGGUUUAAUGCUCGCAUUUUCAAUUCAAUAAAAGUAGUAUUCCAGUAUGAAUAAACUGCUUUUUCUUUACUCAGAGAUCAUGGAUAAAAAUUAUGGUUAUUCUCAAAACAAGAUCAAUGGCGGAGACUUUUGUCUUGCAGAUAGCGCAACCACGCAUUCAAUACUUCGAGAUCGAAAGUAUUUCUCGAAUUUGGUACUUGCAAAAGUAAAGGUAACAACAAUAUCAGGACCAUCAGAUGUAAUUGAAGGCUCAGGAAAAGCCCAGAUUAUGUUACCAAAUGGAACAAUAUUGUCUAUAAUGAAUGCAUUAUAUGCUACUCGGUCCAUUCGAAAUUUGUUGAGUUUUAAAGACAUACGUCUAAAUGGAUACCACCUUGAAACGAAAAUUGUAGAAAAUGUGGAAUAUUUAUGCAUUACCUCCAAUGAUACCCAGAAGCGUAUAUUGGAGAAGUUGCAUGGUUUAUCGAGUGGAUUGUAUUGUACAUACAUAAAGACAGUUGAGGCAUAUACUGUCAUGAACCAGAAGUUCAUUGAUUCAAAGGUUUACAUGCUUUGGCAUGACCGUCUAGGUCAUCCAGGAUCUACCAUGAUGCGUAGAAUCAUUACCAACUCUAAUGGACAUCCAUUACUGAGCAGACACAUUAAUGUCUCGAAUGAUAAACCUUGCAAGGCUUGUUCCCAAGGGAAGUUGGUAAUUAGACCAUCACAACUAAAGGUUGAUGAUGAAUCCCCAUCAUUUUUGCAAAGAAUUCAAAGGGAUAUUUGUGGACCUAUUCAACCACCUUGUGAACCAUUUCGAUAUUUUAUGGUUUUGGUUGAUGCAUCUACCCGAUGGUCACAUGUUUGCCUAUUGUCUACUCGAAAUGUAGCUUUUGCAAGACUUCUUGCUUAGAUAAUUAAGUUGCGAGCACAGUUCCCAGAUCAUCCCAUUAAGUCCAUUCGACUUGAUAACGCUGGUGAAUUUACGUCUCAAACCUUUGAUGAUUACUGUAUGGCAUUGGGCAUUGAUGUUGAACACCCUAUUCCUCAUGUCCAUACUCAAAAUGGUUUAGCAGAAGCAUUGAUCAAGCGGCUUCAAUUAAUAGUCCGCACUCUGCUUAUGAAAACCAAAUUGCCAGUUUCUGCAUGGGGACAUGCCAUUCUACAUGCUGCAUCAUUGGUUCGAUUGAGACCUAUAGCCAACCACCAAUACUCCUCAAUACAACUCAUGUUUGGACAUCAGCCAAACAUUUCACAUUUACGAGUUUUUGGUUGUGCUGUUUAUGUGCCUAUUGCACCCCCGCAACGCACUAAAAUGGGACCUCAGCGUAGACUGGGAAUUUAUGUGGGUUUUGAUUCACCAUCUAUUAUUAGAUAUUUGGAACCCUUGACAGGUGAUAUAUUUACAGCUCGUUUUGCUGAUUGUCAUUUUGAUGAGACAGUCUUCCCAUCGUUAGGGGGAGAAAAGACCGUUCCAGAAGAACGGAAAGAGCUGACAUGGGUUGUUCCCACCUUAUCUCAUUUUGAUCCUCGAACCCUUCAAUGUGAAAAUGAAGUGAAAAGGAUCGUUCAUCUUCAAAGCAUUGCCAAUCAAAUGCCAGAUGCAUUUAAUGACGUUAUGAAAGUGACAAAAUCGCAUAUACCAGCUGCAAAUGCACCUGCCAGAAUUGAUGUCCCUGUUGGACAAAAUAAAGUGGCAGCGAAUGAUUCAUCUGGUGCACGCCUGAAGCGUGGUAGACCACCAGGUUCAAAAGAUUCAGCCCCUCGGAAGAGAAAGACGAGAGCACAACUGAAUCCAAAUGAAAUCAUUCAGGAAGAGAGAGUAAAUGACAAAUCCACAAUUCAUGACUCUGGACUUCCAGAAGAAGAAAAUGGCCCUGAAGAGACAGAAGUACAUGAAAGCAAAGAAAUCUCCAUAAACUAUGCAUGUACUAAUGAAUUGUGGGAUCGGAAUGAAAUAAUCAUUGACGAUAUGUUUGCAUUCGCAGUAGCCACUGAAAUCAUAUUAAGUGAUGAUAUUGAGCCCCGCUCUGUUGAUGAAUGCAAACAGAGACAAGAUUGGCCUAAGUGGAAAGAUGCAAUCCAGGCAGAAUUAAAUUCCUUGGAAAGGCGAAGUGUUUUUGGACCAGUAGUCCAAACCCCAACUGAUGUAAACCCCGUAGGUUACAAAUGGGUAUUUACAAGGAAACGCAAUGAGAAAAACGAGAUUGCUAGAUACAAAGCACGACUCGUUGCACAAGGCUUUUCACAAAGACCUGGAAUUGAUUAUGAGGAGACAUACUCUCCUGUAAUGGACACAAUUACGUUCUGUUACUUAAUAAGUUUGGUGAUUUCAGAAAAACUUGACAUGCGACUUAUGGAUGUCAUCACCGCGUAUCUAUAUGGAGAAUUAGAUACUGACAUAUUCAUGAAAGUCCCAGAAGGACUUAAGUUGCCUGAAGCAACAAACAAACCAUGGGGUAUGUUCUCAAUCAAAUUAAGGCGAUCACUAUAUGGGCUGAAACAAUCUGGGCGAAUGUGGUAUAAUCGUCUCAGUGAGUAUUUGAUUAAAGAAGGAUAUAUCAACAAUGUCAUCUGCCCUUGUGUGUUCAUUAAGAAAUCCAACUCUGGAUUUGCUAUAGUGGCAGUAUAUGUUGAUGAUAUGAACUUAGUUGGGACUCCUGAAGAGCUCCAUAAAACUGCUGAAUAUCUGAAAAGCGAAUUUGAAAUGAAAGACCUUGGGAAAACCAAAUAUUGUCUAGGCCUGCAGAUCGAGCAUUGUGUUAGUGGAAUUUUGGUCCAUCAAUCAGCUUACAUUGAAAAAAUACUGAAGCGAUUUGGCAUGGACAAGGCUUAUCCACUUAGCACCCCAAUGGUCGUUCGUUCUUUAGACAUUAAGAAAGAUCCAUUCCGUCCAAAGGAAGAUGAUGAACUGGUCCUUGGUCCAGAAGUACCAUAUUUGAGCGUAAUAGGUGCUUUAUUGUAUUUAGCACAAUGUACUAGACCAGAUAUAGCUUUUUCAGUUAACUUGUUAGCCAGGUACAGCUCUGCUCCAACAAUUCGUCAUUGGAAGGGAGUCAAAGAUGUUCUACGAUACCUUCGUGGGACAACAGAUAUGGGUCUCUUCUAAUCAGACAAGCCCACAAAUGAACAAAUCCUUGUUGGAUACGCAGAUGCUGGUUUUCUCUCCGAUCCGCAUAAAGCCCGCUCACAAAAUGGAUAUGUGUUCACUAAUGGAGAUACUGCAAUUUCAUGGCGAUCAACGAAGCAAACGCUAGUUGCAACAUUUUCCAAUCAUUCGGAAAUAAUUGCUCUACAUAAAGCAAGUCGUGAAUGUUCUUGGUUAAGAUCAAUGAUCCAUCACAUCUGGAAUUCAUGUGGUCUACCUUCAAAGACAGACACUCCAACUGUCAUCCAUGAAGAUAAUGCAGCCUGUGUCGCCCAGAUGAAGGAAGGAUUUAUCAAAGGUGAUAAGACUAAACACAUAUCUCCAAGAUUUUUCCGCGCACAUGAGCUUCAGAAGGCUAAAGUUAUUGAAGUCAGACAAAUCCGUUCCAAUGAAAAUUUAGCAGACUUGUUCACCAAAUCUCUACCAAAGUGCACAUUUCAGAAGUUGGUACAGGGAAUCGGAUUACGUCGGCUUACGGAUUUGAAGAAUGCGGAAUCAGGGGGAGAUACAAUUCAGGGGGAGCAUCCAUGAUACAUGCAUGUUGUACUCUUUUUCCUUCGCUUAGGACUUUUCCCACUGGGUUUUUCCUAUCAAGGUUUUAACGAGGCAACCUAAGCAUGCUCAACACCAUCCGGGUAAAGUUGUACUCUUUUUCCUUCGCUAUGGUUUUUUCCCACAGGGUUUUUCCAAGCAAGGUUUUAAUGAGGCAACUGAUGUUGAUAUGUGGGCAUCCAAGGGGGAGUGUUGUAAAUAAUGGGUAUGUUUGCCCACAUGUGUGUACUAUAUACUCACAAGCUAAAUAGUAAUGUUUUGUAAUUUUCCAUUGAAGUGGCUCUAUAAAUAGAGCACUUCAUUUGUGCAAAAGAGGGAUAUAAGAAGAAGAAAUAAAAGAGAAAUAUAUCUAAUAGCAAUAAUAUACAUUACUUCCUCAGCAACAGCUUGUGUUGGUAUAAUACUCUGCAACUGCUUCGUUCCUGUCCCGAGUAAAGGUUAUCUCUCUAUAAAUUUUGCCUAUUUAUAACUAUGCUUUGUUUAUUGGAUAUUUAUAAUAUUAUACAAUUCCAAUUACUUUAGUCUAAAGUAGGAAAUCCAAUUGCAUUGUUCAACUUCAACUGAACAGUGUUUUGGACCGAAUUUCACUUUAUUUACAAAAUUUCCACCACCCCUAUCUGUCGUUCAAAUUUUGCUUAUAUCUUUGUGCAGUGUGUCUGUUGUAUUAUCUGGUCACAGAUACCUUAGUUCAGUAAUUUGAGAAGCAUGGGGAGACAAUAGACUAAUCAAAGAGAUGCAUGUGAUCAACGAUAAACAAGUAAGCAUCAUCCUCUUCCUUCUUUUGUUAUGAUUCGUUGUAUAGAGAAUUGAGAAAAAAGUUGAAGACAAUUCCGCGCUUUUGAGUUAUAGCAAUUAAUAUCUAAAAUGACAUUGAUUAGUUCACUUAAGUGUUGAAUCCUUCGUUAGUUUAUCUAUGGUGUGUGCUUGAGAAUGAAAGCAAUGGACAUUAUAUAGAAUUGAUGUUCCUUUUAAUGUCAGUAAAGAAAGGAGUUGUUCCUUUAUUAGCAAUUAUAUGAAGUAGGCAUAUUAUACAAUGUCUACAAUCGACUAUUUUACUUUUUGUAUAUAAGUAAAAAUGUUGAUCGAAAGCCACAAAAACUACCUAAGGGCCGAAGAACUGUUUAUGUUAGAAGAACAGAAUAUGGUGUAAAGCUUAAAUUUUGGGCACUUCAAAAUAUGUUUUUUUUUUCAAUUAUAAUAACUUGCAUGAAAAUUCAAUUGGGUUUGUUCUAGUCUCCAAGAAUUUUGCUUUGUUUGGUUACUAAUUAAUUUAUGUGGUGGGAGUUUAGUUUUUCCUUUUCUGCCUAUGUAUAUAUAAUUCGAAAUGGACCGUUCAAUUUGCUAUAUAUAAAUUUGUAAUCGAAAAGCUCGAAAAAGAGGUGAAUAAAAAACAAUGGUGGUAGAGUGAUGGAGUUGAGGAGUUGAGAGUUUACAGGGUUUACUUGAAUUUUUGUAUGAUGUCCCUGGUAUGUUAGAUCAUUGAAACUAACUGUCUGGUUGAUUAAUCACUAAUUUGAAAUAUUUAAAGUGUAACUUUUCUUUAAUUCACUUUUCUUUUGUAUUUUCAUUGGAGUGCAGAUAAAAGAUAUUUCUUUUAUCUUUUUCAACCACAAACUUUCCGAUGUCUUUUGAGAGUGGUCCAACUAGAGUAUUGGAUGACAAGUUUAGGUUUAAUAUAUACUUGAGUUCCCACAAGGAAGAUGGUAUUUUAGAAGUUAACAAAUUGGACCCUAACGAUAGACUUCUUAGAGAUACGUCCUCCCAGUUUGUAGCCUUUGUAUUGAAGUUGGAAUUGCUUCGCUCAACUGAUUAUUUCCCAGGCUUAAAUCUAUCAAGUUGUUGAAGUUACCAAUAUCAACGAGAAUGUUACCGUUGAUGUUGGAAAUGCUUAAAUCAAUAGUUAGGAGUGACGUAAAGAUAUGCUAACAGUUUGGGUCUUUUACGACUUGAAAUAUACGGCGUACAGACCGGCAUGCCUUAAAUGAUAUUAUUCAUGACAUUCAUAAAGUUCAUAUCGUAAUACUUACGCAUAAUCUCGUAUUCACAACAUCACUUUUAUGCAAGUAGUUAAAUAAAAAUAUUUAUGACUUAAGCGUUGUCUAUCGUAUCUCACAAUCCCAUAGUAUUCAAUCUACAACUUUCAUUUACCUCACAUAUCUCAGGUUUUGUCUAUCUCUCUCUGCCUCUCUCACGCAGUCUCUCUCUCGACUUUCACUCUCUCAGAUUCGUAUCUCCCAAUCCCAGCGGCCUCGAUAUCUCUCUCGUCUCCAACCACGAUACCACCAUCAUCUCCUGUCAACUCUCGACUCUCUCCCACCACCUGCACUUGACGGUCCUGACUCCUGACCACCAUCUAUGUUCCAAAUAAGGUAUGCAGUUAGGGAUUUAAGAUUGAAAUAAAUUGGGGUUUUCUAGAUUUAGGGAUUUGGAUUUGGUCAAUUCUGGAAUCAAAUGUUAAUUAUAAUUUGUUUAAUUUUGGCAAUUUGAGUGCAAAAUUAGGGUUUUGUUAUUUCAAGUGUUGACAGUAAGACCCUUUGUCAAUUAGUAACCACUUAGUGCUUGUUUUCGAUCUGUCAUUGAAUACGAAAUCACGACUUUUAAUUUUUCAUUUUACAAGUCAUCAUAAGGAAUAGAUAAUUCUAGAAUUAUAGUGCAAACUCUUGAUUUUCAGUUUCAGACUUGGUUUUGUUUCAGAAUUCUGAGGAAUUUUAAUCAUGGUGUUGGGGAUUUGUUAAUUUUGCUCUCUCGCUCUCUCUCGCUCUCUCUCUCUCUCUCUCUCUAUGAUUUGGUUGGGAUUGCAGAGUGACUUGGGUUUCUUUGUAUGCAUGUCCCGGACCUCCAGGUCACAUGGGGUACUUAGCAAGGUUUUACUUUUGCAAAGGAGAUGGAGAUGUUACAGACUUACAGUGAUACUGCAAUCCAAAUAAUCUGUUUUGAAAAUCCAAAUAAUCUGUGAGUAUGUUGUAGCAGUAGAAUAACACUGUGGGGCUUAGCCUAGUACUUAAAUUAUUGACUUUGUUGCUUAGGAUAAUUUGAUUGAGUUCCUUUGGUAUGAUUUAUAUUCACUUAUUUAUUCUAUUUAUUUUUACUAUUUUUCAGGUAGCAUUCAAGUCUUUGGUGAAAUUUUAAACGAAGAGGUUGCAAAUGCAGCGGUAAUGAGUGGAAAAGUUUAUACUUACUUUUAUUAGUAUUGAAGUCUUUAUCAAUUUCUAAGUUAACAUUUUGUUUUGACUAGCUCGUAACUUACCAAUCGAAUCCAUCCCCUUUGACUAGCUAGAGUAUCUUGGUUGGGAACUCUAUCUGUUCCCAGCGCCUAGUAUCCAAAGAUGAAGUUGAGACGGGUUGGGAACUCUCUCUUUCUCUCCUUUUGUUUUAGUUCCCAAGAAAGUUGAUUGGAUUGAAGAAAAUGGAACAAAAAGAAAUGAAAAAAAAAUUGAAAUUUGUUGGUGCUUAUGUUGAUGUUGAAUUUGUAAUAUAUUAAGACCCAAAAACUAGAUAAAUGGCUAACUUUGAUGUAAAUUGAUAACAGCAAGCCACUAGGUCAAAAAACAGUGAGUCUUACCUUAGAGCUUUUGGGGAUAUCAUAAUUGAUAACCAUAUCCACCGAUCGAAUAUCCAAUCUUGUACUUGCCGCAUCAAUUCUUCAUGCAUGAAAUGUUAAGAGACUCAUAAAUUUAUCUACUUGCAAGUAUAUGAUUUUUAUGCAGGUUAUAGGAAACAAUAAAAUCGUAAAGGCAUAAUUUGUGUAUAUUUUAGUCAUUUGAUACAUGUAUGAGUGUAAAACAAUAAAACUGUGAAGGCAUAAUUUGGGAUAUAGGUUUGUAUGAUAGUGAUUAGUUUUUCUUUCAGUAUCACUUUUCUUACUUGAGAUUAAAUGUGUAUUUCUACAUAUAGCAGCACAAUAGAUUUUUUUUUGCUCCAUGUGCUUAUGUCUAUGCAGAUAGAGAUAGCAAUUAGUGUGGUUCAAGCAUUAGGAGCAGUAUUUCAUUCUCAAAGGACUUUGUUUGAAGGUGUUCAAUGAAAAGUGAAGUCUUUCAAGUGACAAAUUUCUUUGUUAUUAGAGGCCUAUUUGGUAUUUCAUGUGUAGUUUGAUAUUGACCUUAGCUUUGUUCAACUUGUAAUACAUUUUGACAAUAUGAUUAUUUAUGAUUAUGGUAAAUGUGUAAUUUUGUCAAUUCUUAUAUAUAUAUAUAUAUUAAUUGUUGAUGUUAGUCUCCAUUUAUGAUGUACGACGUAUGCCGUAAUUGCUUUCACAGUAUUACGACACUAAACAAACGUUGUAUCAAAUAUAAAUUACGGCACACAGGUAUGCCGUAAUUGUUUUUGCAGUAUUACGACACUUCAUUAACACCGUAUCUAAUACCAAUUAAGGCGCGCAAGGCAUGCCUUAAAGAGUAUUUACAACGUGUUUUGCUUAAAUUAUUCACGGCUACUAUAGAACGUCGUAUUUGACAAAACAUCUUUUAUGACAUGGGUUUUUACUGCUUGGGGGCUCACGCUGUGAAUAAUCGUUUACGGCGCUCUUUGUGCACCACAAAAGACUAGUUAUGUUGUAGUGAUAUUAUGUAACAAAUGCUCAAUUUUCUUUUGCACUCUUUUAUGAAUUUCAUUUGGAUGGGAAUGGUUACGUGACAUUACUUGUUACACCAGAAAAUGUCUGGUUUUGGUAUAAAGACUUAACUGCAAAAAGGCAUCUGAAAGGUUUCGUUUAGCUACUAAGAAAGUUUGGGAGGGGUCAAACGUCUUAGGUUGAGAUUACAUAUACAAGGGUGUUAGAUUUACAUAAUGGGUUUACAUAAUGAGUUGUUGAUGACUACAUACACAUUGAGAAUUUAGCUUAUGUCUUUGUGUCCGAUGAGGGAGUGGUUUUUUUUUUUUUUUUUUUUUUUUUUUUUUUUUUUCGGGUGUCAUUCCAUUUUAAUCUUAGUUCCAUUCAAAUGAAGAUAUUUAAAGAACCUAACGUAAAACAUCUGUACAAGCAAAACACAUCUUAGCAACGCCAAUAAAAUUAUCUACGAGAGUUGAUCCAAUCCAGGCAAGCCGCACGGUGGGUUAUUGAGGACAAAGCUGCCGAGAUCCAUAUUAAAACUCCAAUUUGGCAACUGAUGAGCAACACAAUUCCGCUCCCUAGAUACAUGCUUCAUGCUUCAGCUCAGCUCACAUCUAACCAAUUGACUCAUCAAUGUUUUGCAUAUGCUCACAAUUGUAUCAAGAGGAUAAUAACUAUCAACCAAAUUUUGUUAGAACAAAGUGACAGCAAACACCUCUGUCAAUAAAAUCUCCUUAUCCCAAAUGGACGCAGAUUGUCUGCCCUCCUAGUUGUGGUGCCGUUCCAUGCCCUCCUAUUUUGUGCGGUUACGGUUAAACCACAUCAACAUUUUAUAUUAAUUUUUUAAUGAGAUAAUAAGACAAAAAAUAAUAAAAAUAUAAAAUAUUGACGUGGCUUAACCGUGGCUGCACAAAAUAGGAGGGCAUGGAAGGGCACCACAACUAGGAGGGCAGACAAUCCUUGUCCAUCCCAAAUUGGCUGAGAACUCUACCCACACCAAUAUUGAACCAUCAACGUCAAGCUUUCACCCAGUUCUCGACUUUUUGCGUGUUUACUACAAGUAUGGAAUCUGAAGGGCUAGUUGAUUCGUAGCUCAAUACUUGAAAAUUAGGAGUCAAAUCAAAAUGUUUAUUUUUUAUUGGUAACACAUUUGCAAAUUUGGUUUAAAAAUUAAGUUACCUGAUAUUAUCCUAAUAUAAAUAUCUUUUGACAAAUAAAAAAUGCAUACAAAGAUAAAUUUGAGUGGUGAUAUCCACACACUCAUUUUUACCUUUCACACACCUUUAUUAUUUCCCGGGCUGUUGAACAAUUGAAACAAUCAAAUAAUAUAAAUUAAUAAGUGAUGUGUGAAAAAUAGAAAUAAGCGUGUGAAGAGCCACAAAACUAAACAGAUACCCAAAAAUACCACAACACACAAAGUCAGUCGUUACAUUUCAGUUGCAAAUGAAAAUUAUGAACACUGGGAUUUGCUCUCUCUAUCGCUGAGAGAUUCUCUGUUAUUGAUGGCAAUGGCGGACAAUGGCAGUCGUCUGCAAAUGCAUAACAUCGAGGAGGAGCUUCUUCUGCUUCAGAGCAGUCAGUUUCGACGACAAGCCCGACCGCCGAAACCUCCUCCGAAACGUUUUGACCCUUCCCGUCUUUAAAAAAGGCCUCUUCACUUGCUGCAGCCCAUCCCUUGCCGGAAGCAGUAUUCUCAGGUUUAUCUCACACAAUUACGGGUUUUUCCCGUUUUCUUUUGAGUUGCACGGUCUGUUUGGUUCCCCAGAAAACGCAGGAAAUUUUUGAAAGUUUUUGAGCUUCUGUAGGGUUUACUAAAGUGAAUACUUGACUAGGUUCAGUUGGGUUGCUGAUAAAUUCAAACAACGAAAUUUAGACGCGAAUGCUUUUAAUUGAUUUGAAGAGAAGUUUCUGAGCUAGUUUAUUGCUUUUGAAUGUUCAAAUUGGAUCCUAUAAAUGUGUCUGUGUGAUAAUUAGAUGAUUUGUUGCUUGCAGUAUGGAAGCACGAGAGAAUUCCAUAUAUGUGAUGAUGCCAGUUGAUGCCUUUUGCAUUGAUGGUACAGGGCGUCCAAGGAUUAGGAAGUAAGGUCAUCUCCAACCGAAGGGUCCAGAGGGCCAGAGGGCCGAAAAUAGCCCUAAAACCGUCUCCAACCGAGGGCUAGGCCAGAGGGCUCUGGAAUCUGGGAGGGCCCCACGGGAUCGGAGAGGGCUGGAGGGCUGGCUGCUUUCGGCCAGCCAGCCAGCCCCGGGCUGGCUUAUUUUUUUUUUAAUAGUUCUACUAUUAGUGUCGGUUAUAACCGACACUAAUAGUUUGAAUGUUUUUUAAUACAACGGCUAGUAGCCGUUGUAUUAUUAGGCCUUUUUUUUUUUUUUUUUUUUUUUAACUUUUUAUUUUCCCUUUUUUUUUCCUUUUCAUAUUAAUCAAAUUUUGUUUCAUAUUUUUUUUCAAUUCUAUUUUACAAAAUUUGUUUCAAUUUUUUUUUAAAUUCUAUUUUUUUCCUAUAACUUCUAUUUUACAAAAUUUGAUUCAUAUUUUAUUUCCUAUAACUUCUAUUUUACAAAAUUUGAUUCAAAAUUUGUUGACGUCACCUAGCCGUUAGAUUUGAAUUUAAAUUGUAGUUUUUAAAUAAUAAAUUAUGUUUGGCCCUAUGGCCCUUUGGCCCUCGGUUGGAGACGGUUUUUUGUGACAGGGCUAAAACGAGCCCUCUGGCCCUCUGGCCCUCGGUUGGAGACGGAGGCAAAUAUGGCCAUGUACUGUUUAUUAAAAUAUUAAUAUCUUGGAGAAUCUUGGAGGGCCAGAGGGCUAAAACGAGCCCUCUGGCCAGUCAUCGGUUGGAGAUGGCCUAAGUUUUAUUAUGACUUUAUGUUGAUGAGGCUAUGAUGCAUUUUCAUUCUUAAUUUAAUUGUUGUACUCUUUUAAACGACAGAAUAUGAUUAGCUACAAGGUUGCAGCUAACUAUUUUGAUCUGUUCCCAAUUCAAGUUAUGUACGCGUACAUUUCAAAAUGGUUCUAAAUAAAAUUUAUUUUUAAUUUAGUUUCCUUUCAAGUGAGACAGAAUCUCCUUAUAUAUUGCACGAUUUAUUGUUGUUUCAGAAUCAAGGCCUUAACUGUAGCUCUGAAAGCACUCAAGUUGGCUGGUGUCCACGGAAUUGCAGUUGAGGUUUGGUGGCCUCUUGCAUAUGAUUGGUCUCUAUAUGAAGGGCUUUUCAAACUGAUUUCUGACUCAGGUUUGAAGUUGCAUGUUGCCUUGUCUUUUCACUCAAACGUUAACUCUUCUUCUAGCAGAAAAGGGGGUGUAACUCUUCCGCUUUGGAUCAUAGAGGUUUGUUUUCUCGGCAAUUUUGAAAUCCCAUUUGACUGUUUGGCCUUUUAUUGGUAAAAGUGCACAUGGCUGUACUGGAAUGAUUAAUUUACCCAGUCAUACUCUUUUGUGACAACAUAAGAAACAUAACCCAUUUGGAUGACUAGAGAUAGUAUCAACUUUUCUUCAGUUUCCUGCUCUGCAACAUGCUAUGGUCCUGUGUUCCCCAUUAGCAUACUUGAUUUUAGCUUUGAUGUGCAUAAAAAGUUUAUCUUUGCAAAGGGAUGUAACAGAAAAAUGAUAGUUUGGCCUUCAUUACAUGCCCAUCAGUUUGAAUCCUGAAUUUAGAUAAAGAAGUUGACCUCUUCUGUUUUUUUUUUCCUCCCAGAUUGGUGAUCAGAAUAAGCAUAUAUAUUAUCGGGACCAAAAUGGAUUUUCCAAUGAUGAUUAUCUUACACUUGGAGUUGACCAUGUUCCUCUCUUUUGCGGCCGGACUGCUCUCCAAUGUUAUGAAGAUUUCUUGUCAGGUUUUGCUAAGAAAUUUGAAUCCUUAAUUGGAACUGUGAUAGAAGAAAUUGGUGUUGGUCUUGGAUGUUACUGUUACACUAGAACCACAAGUAUGAAGCCAGUCCAAUGAUUUCUUAUGCAACAUUGUUACAUUGCUCACACUGAUAUCCUGCACAUCCUUUUGGUGAUGGUAGAUGGAAGUUUCCUGGAAUCGGUGAAUUCUAAUGCUAUGACAAGCGCAUGUAUGCUAAAAAUCUUUCAUUCCUGUGACAGAAAUUUGGUUGCUAUUGAACUUUUCCUAUUUACAACGUUGUUCCUUUUAGGAUGGGCGACCUAAAGAUGGCUGUAGGCAAGGAAGGAAAGCCUCAGUGGGGAGGGAAGGGACCACAAAAUGCUGGCUGUUACAACAGUCUCCCAUCUGAAGUUCCAUUCUUUGAAGAGGGAGAGGAAAGCAUUCUUUCUGAUUAUGGGUGUUUUUUCCUUGUAUGAAACUGAUGGAAGCAUCUUGCUUUAUUAUUUCCCAUGAAAAAUUUCUGCAUAACUGAAGCCUAGUGUAAAUUGCAUGAAAUCAUUGUUUGUAUUUCAUCCUCGAACUACCACAUUGUUUCUUUAGCCAGGAAACACUUCUGUGUACGUGCCUGUAAACAACAUGGGCCUGCAAUAUAUAUUUUCAAUCUUUAGUGGAACUUUUCUUAUAACUAACUCUAUUUGCUUCUAGGGGUUAUACUUGCAGACUGUUUGCUACUGGAGUCUUAAAUACUCUUACGCAACAUGAUUAAAAGUAGAUGCAAUUUGAUUAAGAAUGAAAUGCAUUGAUGCUUGUCUUCUGGAAAGAAAAAAAAAUCAUCAUAGGAUGUACUGGUUAGUAAACUAAGGACAAUUAUGGAUGUAUAAGUGGAAAUUUAAAUCAUGUAUGGUUCUUUAUCAUGCAAUACUUGGCAUAACAUAAUUAAACUUAUUGGAAAACAAUGUGGAGCUUAGGAGAUCUGACAGUGGCUUGACUUGUUGUAGGAAUGGUACAGUGGUCGGUUGCUCCAUCAUGCAGAUGAUAUUCUUGCAAAGGCAGCUAACAUUCUGAAGAAAUAUCAAGAAUAGAAGCAAACUUCUAUUCUAUUGGCAGCUAAAAUUGGUGGUACCAGAUGAGAGCACAGCCUGCUGAAUUGACAGCUUGAAACUACAGCAGUGCUCUUAAAGAUGGUUAUGAUCAUGUUGCUUCAAUUUUGUCUCGUCAUGGAGCUGCUUUGCAUGUUUCGUAAGAUUCCAAGUUUUAAGGUUCUGACUAGAAUUUUGUUCAUUGUCUAACCUGAUAAUUAGGGUUGCUUACACAUUCGCUUGAUUUCAAAUGUAUCUAUCUACCAUGUUCACGUACUAAAUAUUUUAUUGCAGCAGCUUAGAAAUGAUGGAUGGUGAUAACCCGGCAUCCUAUCUUUGCAGUCCAGAAGGAUUACUCCAACAGGUACGGGGCCUGUUAAUUAAUAACACUUCCUUAGCUUGUGCUUUGUUGGUACUUUUUUUAACUUACUUUAGAAAUUUUAUCUGUAUAAUUCAAGCUUUUAAGUUAGGUAGGACUAACCCAUGUAGCUGUGCUUGUCACAGCAGGUCGUGCAGGGUCUCUAGGUUCAACAUGGGCUUGGAACGGGCCAAUAUGAGCUUUUUCAGUAUUACAGAUAUUAGGUAUUGUUGAUAUGUUUUUUAGGCUUCUUUUAGUGUCUUAUAAUUCAUUCUGAAGUAAAUCUUUAGUUUUAAUUGGGUUGUCUUGCCCAGAUAAUAAAGAAGAAACAUAUGACAAGUUGAUCAAUAACCAUUUUUCUGUUUUAUUGAAGUUUGGAAUAUAAUUGAUAAUUUGAUAUUACUAAACAACAAAAAUAGAAUUGCAUCACUAUACCGUAUAUUAGUGUCGUACUACUUUAGAUUGGCAUGGUCUGUCCAUUUACACUGGUGGGUGGUGGUAGUGCCUAGUGGUGGCUUCUGUUGUCUAGAAUUCUAUCGGUCAUUUGGUUUCUUCGAUAAAAUGUCUGACCUUAUGCUUUGUUUAUUGGGUAUAUAUCAUAUUAUACAAUUCCAAUGUAGUCUAACAUGAUUCGAUUUGCACCAGAUAUGGAGUGUUUCAAAGAAAUGGGCACAUUUGAUCGGGAGAAAUACCAAUGAAGGAUUUGACAGGGUCAGUUCUUCCUUUGCUCAAGAACAAAAGCAAAUUUCAGCUACCAUUUAUUUCUAUUAGACAUAUAUUGGAGACUUGGGAGCAGCCUCUCCAUAAAUGGAGAUAAGGUUAGCCGACAUUCACCUCUCCCAGACCCUGCGUAAAGCGGGAGCCUUGUGCACUGGGUACGACCUUAGACAUAUAUUGGAUAUUGCAAAUGUCUUAUAACUAGAAACACAUGGCUUCUGAUAGCGUUAGUUAAACACUUCUUCUUUUGCCCAUUCUGUGUUGCGCGUUCACGCGUCUGCUUUUCUCUUGCACGUUGGUUUAUGGCAAAUACAUACUAACUAUUACCAUUCCCAGGCCGAAGCUGUAAGAUCAUUUACAUAUUUCAGAAUGAAUGAUAAGAUCUUUAGGGCUGAAAAUUGGAGUAAUUUCCUUCCUUUUGUUAAAAAGAUGAGCACAAAUUGGUGAAGCAACCAAAAAACCCAACUUAAAUACUAAAUUUAUUGAUCUAGAGUAGCAGCCUCACUACCCUAUAAUUUUUUGUCAAGGGCAUGUGUAGAAGUUAAGAAGUUUGUCACUUCCUGAUAUAUUGACUGAAAUAACUUUGUGUUUCCAUGGCAGGCGUUCUUGACCUGGAAGUGUAAAUUUUUGAAACGGAUUUGGUUGGCCGUAGAAACUAAAUGCUUUACUAUCAAAAUACGAGAAGAAUAAUUGGAAUUGCAAUCUUGGUACUACUGGUCACAUUGCCUAGUCAAAUACAGGUACAACAUUUCAAUUUAAGGAAUAUACACAUACUGUCAUAUCCGUCACUAUACGAAAAUAAUGUAGUCUUUGCAGAUCGAAAACAACAAUAAGAAAAUGGAUCCGAAAAUAUAGAGAACAAAAAGAACUAAGAGUUCACUCCUUCACAGUCCUUCAAAUACUUAGUCUUGAUUUUGGUGAGUGUGAUUGCAGCAUCUUCUUCACAGUCCUUCAAAAACUUAGUCUUGAUUUUGGUGAGUGUGAUUGCAGCAUCUUUCAUGUUAAUCCUCUCUCCCGGCAAUGCUGCAGUACAAGCUAAAGCUAAUCUCAUAACGGAUGAUAAGCAAUCCCUCUUGCUCACAAAAUCACCAUCUUCCUCCGCCCCAAGUAUAUCGGCAUCCACAACUUCACCUAUUGCAGCAUCUGGAAAUAAUGAAUCUGCAAUCCAUUGCUUUAAAUUCAUUUCCCCAACAAACAUCUCAUCCGUUGGCUUCCUUUUUGUGAAUGUCUCCAUGAGUACAAUACCAAAACUAUACACAUCCCCUCUUGUCGAAACGCUUCCUUCCAUCCCAAACUCUGCAAAAUUUGUAUGUGAAUUUAGUUAUAUAUGAUAAAAAGAAAAUUAUAACUCCUAAUAAGACCAACAUAUACAAAAUUGAGAAAAUACAUCACCUGGAGCCAUAUAUCCAACUGUGGCUAGGGUCAUGGUUUCUGUCAUCGAAUGUCCACCGCCGAUGAGUCUUGCAAUGCCAAAAUCAGCAACAUGUGCAACCAUAUCAUCAUCUAGUAGUAUAUUGCUUGGUUUCACAUCACAAUGAACAAUAGGUACCGAGUAACCAUGAUGAAGAUAUUCCAGUGCCAAUGCAACAUCUUUCAUUACGUCCAGCCUCUGCAGGAUAUUCAUGGAGCUGUUUGGAGAAUACAACCAGUUUUCGAGGCUUCCAUUAGGCAUCAAUUGAAGUAUCAGGGCUUUGAAAUCAAGUUCAUCGCAGCAACUUAUGAUUUUAAUAAGAUUCCGGUGACGGAUAUUGCUUAGCAUUUCACAUUCCCUAUCAAAACUUUUGAAUGCCCCUUCUACCUGUAAAUUGAAAACCUUGACGGCAAUGUCUAUCCCGUAUGAAAGUGUUCCUCUGUAUACUGAGCCAAAACCCCCCGUGCCUAGUAAGUUACUCUCGUGAAAUCCAUUUGUCGCAUUUACAAGUUCUAGGCGCGAAACUCUUCUCCAAAGAACUUGAUGUAGCGAGGCAGUUUCUCUUACAACUUCGACAUUCCUUUUGUUGCAUAGUAUCAGAAUCAAUGCAGCGGCCGCUAGGAGUAUUACUGGUAUGACCCCUGAGAUGAUAUAUUUAGCUUUCCUCCAAUUUGGCUUAACUUUUGUUCUAUUUUUGCACAGGGGAACAUGGAGUCGGGAAGCACCGCAGAGCGCACCGUUGGAUACAAAUGAAUCGGCAGAGAAGUUUCCGAAAGGCCCGCCGGUUGGAAUUUCUCCUUGGAGUUUGUUGAAAGACAAAUUCAGAUGCUUGAGAUACAAGAGUGCUUCCAAUGACUUUGGGAUCUCUCCAGAUAGAUUAUUUUGGGACAAAUCCAAGAAUUCUAGGCUUAGCAAGGUUUUAAAUGAACUGGGAAUAGGGCCUUGUAAAUAAUUGUUUGCCAAGGACAAAUUAAUCAUAUUUUGAAGACCACCAAUGCUACCGGGAAUGUUUCCGGAGAAGUGGUUAUUUGAUAAAUCUAUAUCCACCACUUCUUUCAACUUUCCGAUGUCUUCUGAGAGUGGUCCAACUAGAGAAUUGGAUGACAAGUUUAGGUGCAAUACAUACUUGAGUUCCCACAAGGAAGAUGGUAUUUUUGAAGUUAACAAAUUGGACUCUAACGAUAGAUUUCUUAGAGCUACUGCCAAACCACCCAAGCAGGAAGGAAUAGAACCAGAGAGCCGAUUAUGACCCAAACCUAACUCGGCUAGGUUGGUUAGUUGACAGAGUUCAUACGGGAUAUGUCCUUGCAGUUUGUUAUCAUACAGAAACAAACCUUGGAGAUUUUUUAGCCUCUGUAUUGAUGUUGGAAUUGCUCCACUCAACUGAUUGAUUUCCAGAUGUAGUUCUAUCAAGCUGCUCAAGUUGGCAAUAUCAACGGGAAUGUUACCCCUGAUGUUGGAAAUGCUUAAAUCAAAAUAUGUGAGUGGCGUAGAGAGAUUCCCACGAAAAGCUGGAAUCGUGGUGUUUAAUGGAUUACCUCCCAAGUCUAAUUUUGUCAAAUUUCUAAGAUUAAACAAGCAAGAGAGAGUAGAAGCAUCAAUCGUCAAAUGAUUCCAGAACAAGAAAAGAAGCUCGAGGUUUUUCAAGGAACAGAGCGUGCUAGGAAGAAACCCGGUAAAUGAGUUUGUGUCCAUGGCUAGGACCCUGAGCUUGGAAGCAUUGGAGAAGUUAGGGAGUGUCCCGGCCACGAGGUUAUUGGAGGAUACAGAAAAGAAUUCUAGGUUUGGAACAUUAAGACCUAUGUUUGCUGGGAGGCCACCUGAGAGCUGAUUUAAAGUAAGCGAUAUUACUCUAAUCAUGGAGUUAUUGAAGAGCUUGGAUGGGAUGACACCAUUGAGAUUAUUAGCACCCAAUCUCAAAACCUCUAACUGCGGAAGAUCACCAAUCUCAUCCGGUAUUGUACCUAUCACAAUGUCAGCACGUUUGCAUUAACUUUGUAACUUCGGUUUAUCUAAAAACUAAAAACGAAAUGAUUGUAAAACGCCCCCAAAUUUAUUACCUGUUAAAUUAUUGAAACGAAGAAAAAUCUCGGUUAAGUAGGUCAAAUUGCCAAGACUUUUGGGUAUGCUCCCACGGAAAUUGUUAGACUCUAAUGCAAUUACACGAAGCUCUUUGCAUUGCCACAGUUUGGAGGGAAUCAGACCGUCAAACUGGUUUUGAUUCAAAGAAAAUCGUUGAAUACUCGAAAGAUGCUCACACAUAUUGUCCGGAAGAAUACCACUCAUGUUGUUUCCGGAUAAAGCCAAAGUAGUCAAAGAAGAUAUGUUAAGGACAGGCACAAAAGCAGAGCCUUUAGGGCAUUGUCCUGCACAAACAACUCCUCCAACUGACCUAAACUGCCUAUCUCGUUCGGAAGUUCUAUAAAAUCAAUCCGUGUAUAUUGUUAAAAUCAUGUAUACAUAUAUAGGAGCAGCUUCUUAUUGGGAAUCCCGUUGUACCAUAGCAAAAGUGGGAUACAUUCUAAGGACCAUGUACUCACCAUAUAGGACCUCUUUUUUGCUCUAGAAUACGAGGGUCUUACACGGUCAAUAUACGAUCCUACAAUAGUCCUCUCAUCUCAUUUUUUGCCGAAGUUGAACAAGAUCCCAGCUAAGAAGGGGCUUGUGUUUAUGUGUGUGUGUGUGUGUUUGUAUAUAUAUGUAACAAAACCUCAGUCAUACAGUAUACCUUCGAACUUGUUGUCGUCAAGGUAUAUGCCCUUCACCAUUGUUAAGUUGCCUAUUUCUCUGGGUAUACUACCUGUUAAAUAUGUGCAUGCAUUCCAACAAAAAAGAAGGAAAAAAAAAAACAAACGAGAUGAUUGUUAUACAUCUUAUAUAUAGAGGUUAAAAUGAAACAAAGAUGUUAAAAUGUAAUGAUGAAGCAAGCAACAUUAAUUUAUAUUCCUAGGUAGUUGGUAAUGGUGGUAUGUACGUACCCGAUAGUUGGUUCCUCAUCAGGUAAAUGUUUUCGAGUGCAGAUAAGUUGAAGAUAGCAGCGGGUAUGAAACCAGAGAAGUCAUUAUCGUACAAUUUGAUGGUUUGAAGUUUAGCAAAGGACCCAAACCACAAAGGAAUGGUUCCCAUAAAGCUGUUGUUUCCAAAGUUAAUCGCCUUCAACCGGCGCAAACGAGACAGUUCUUGCGGUAGGGGACCAUGAAAACUAUUAUUCUGAAGGCCCAACUCAACGAGAAAUGAGAGGUUGCCAAGAUGCGGAGGAAUAACUCCGGCAAGACCCAUGUAAGGGAGAUUUAAGGCCGUGACUCUGUGGUGGCGAGCACCGCAGGUAACGCCAACCCAGUUGCAAAUGUUGGAAUUGGAGGCAGAGGACCAGUUGGCGGUCAAGAUGUUUUGAGGGUCACUAGUGAUGUGAGCCUUGAGAGCAAGAAGCGCAGAUUGAUCUGUGCUGAAAUUGGUAUGAGCUAUUGCUAAUGCUCCUGCAGUUAAGUAAUUAGCCACAAUCAUCAUAUAGAUAUAACACAAGCAUUGUAUCAUCGACAACAUCUUUGAUAGUAGGAAACGACUUCUCUCCUUAAUUGUAGUAGUUUUCGUCUUUCGGUAUAAAUUCGAUCGAAAACUAGAACUCAUUACAUUCACAUAAAUAGGGAAACAAGUUGGUGUUACCAAGACUUGUGAACGACUUUUGUACUGGUUUGAUACUGAGGUGCUUUUAUAAAAAAUGGGUAUAAAAAAAAAAGAUGAGCUCAAAAAGGUGUUUGGUAAACACUUAAAAACAGUUUAUUUUCACAGUUUUGGGUGAAAAAAAAUUAAAAGCGUGAAGCAGCAAAAAUAAGCUUAUUCUCACAGCACAACAUAAACAGUUUUUUUUUUCAAAGCACAGCAAUACCAAACCAGCCCUUAGACUUGCCCGGCUUCUAUGUCAAGGUGAGGAGACUUUAGAUUUUUUAACAUAUCAAACACACACCAUUCAUUUUUUGCUGAUGGCGUAGGUAGGUGAGGAGGAAUGGUGACUGCGAUGUAAGAGAGAUUCAAGGCCACGACUUGAAUGUGGCAUACCAACCCAGUUGCAACUUUCAAGUGAGCAAUCAAUGCUAAGGAUGUUUUGGUCUGUGGUGGUGAUAUUUGGUAAUUCGCUGAUAGGUUAGCUAGGUGAGGAGGUCUAGUCUAAGUCCGACUUUUUUGUCGAAGUGAGGACUUAGAAUAGUGGAACGAAGGCUUGUGAUUUGGUAAUUGGUGCUGCCAGCCGACGAGUUCUGUCCAUUUUGUGGGCAUAGCUGGAGAUGCCCAAAUGUGGAAUUUUAGUCUUCAGUUCACCAUCAAAACAAACAAUACCAUAAAUUUCAAGAUUGAUAUUUAAUGAUGACAUACAUUUUGAUUCAAAUGCAAAUGCAAAUGCGACCAAACACAUGACAGUUACAUUCUUCCGGAUGAAAUGUUUUCGACGACGUUUACAUAUAAUCAAGCUCUAGUUGAACACUCUUCGGAUUCGAAAAUCAUCUAAACUUGGCUAAUUAGUCAAGAAUUACGGUCUUAUGCUUCUAAAUUAUUAAUCACGAUCGCAUGUAUAAAUUCAUUGCAGCAAUAACGAAGAAGGGAAGUAACAACCAGAGAUUGAAAACUAGUUCAGAUACGUACAUUCACUAUCAUGCAGACUUGCCAUUGGAGACAGCUCUGAAUAUGCAAAGGUUUUUUAUAGGAAAAAUUAGUAUCCGGUCCCUAGUUCUUACUGUUCAUUGAUUAAGACCUUAUUAGUUCUCAAAUUUUGAUUCAAGUCCCUAGCAAUAAUGUGAUAAUGAAUUUACAUGUUUAUUAUAUAAUUUUUUAAUAUAAAAAUUAGUAAUUAAUUUAGGGUUUAAUACUCACACCUCUAUUAAACUUCUAAUUAAUUUUCAAUUCAAACAUUUCCAAAAUAAUAAAAAAUUAAAUUAAAUUAAGUUUGUACCUAUUACUUUAUAUAUAUAUAUAUAUAUAUAUAUAUAAAGAUUCUCAAUUUUUUAAUCUUAAAUGUACCCAUUCAUAUAAUUUUUCAAUUUUUUUAAUCUUAAAUGUACCCAUUCUCAAAUACAUCAAUUUGUUAUAUGUAAAAUGUACCCUUUUUUUUAAUAUAAAAUCCAUUCAAAUUUUUUAAUCCAUGUUUAAACUUAUAUGGGUACAUUCUUUUUCGUUGAUUUGAGAAUGUAUCCAUGUUUUGAUACAAUAACUUUUUUUGUUAAUUUUGGUUAAUGUACCCAUACAUAUAUGUACACACACAAUAUAAUAGAGGGUAUAAUUUAUAUUUUAUUAUUUUUAAUCCCAUAAAUUAUGGGUUUUAUUUAAAAUCUCAUUAAUAUAAACAAUUACAAAUUUCAAUUUUUAAUUUUUAAUUUAAAACAUAUAGUAACUUACAUUAUUAUAUUAAUGUCAGGACCUCAAUCAAAAACUAAAAACUAACAAGGUUUCAAUUAAAAAAUAUUGAUAGCUAGGGAACGCAUCCAAAGUGUCCAUUUUUUAUAUGACUUCAACAAGAGAGGACAUACCAUGCUUAGAGAUGAAGCAGGCCUGCACCUGCAAGCCACGGUGGUAAUCGAAUUCCAGUGAAAGGGAACAAAACUCCAGCCGCCACCGGCAUGCUGAGGAUAUUGUAGCCCAGGGCCCAGACAUAAUUCAAUCGAAUUUGAGACAUGGUCUUUCUAGAGAGAUCAAUGGCUGUAACUACAUCUUCCAAGUUGCUCUUCCUCAGAACUAUAAGCAGCUUCUAUAACUACGUCGGUGCCCGCACCAAUUGCCAUACCAACAUGUCCUGCAACCAUUGCCGGAGAGUCAUUAAUUCAAUCUCCCAUCAUUGCCACCACCAUUCCUUUCAUCUGCAUCCAAAUCCACUUUAACAAGUCAGAAAACACUAUGUAAGAUAGAUAACUCACAUAUCAAGUCAGAAACAAACUUAAUAUAGAAAAAUGAGUUUGAAGAUUGUUUGCAAGGUUUAGCAAGGUUUUAAAUGAAAUAGGAAUAGGGCCUUCUAAAUGAUUGUUUGCCAAGGAGAAAUCAAUCAUAUUCUGAAGACCCCCAAUGCCACCGGGAAUGCUUCCGGAGAAAUGGUUAUUUGAUAAAUCCAUAUCCACCACAUCCUUCAACUUUCCGAUGUCUUCUGAGAGUGGUCCAACCAGAGAAUUGGAUGACAAGUUUAGGUGCAAUAUAUACUUGAGUUCCCACAAGGAAGAUGGUAUUUUAGAAGUUAACAAAUUGGACCCUAACGGUAGAAAUCUUAGAGCUACUGCCGAAGUACCCAAGCAGGAAGGAAUAGAACCAGAGAGCCGAUUACCAUCCAAACGUAACUCGGCUAGGUUGUUUAGUUGACAGAGUUCAUACGGGAUAUGUCCUCCCAGUUCGUUAUCAUACAAAUACAAACCUUGGAGAUUUUUUAGCCUUUGUAUUGAAGUUGGAAUUGCUCCACUCAACUGAUUGUUUCCCAGGCUUAAUGAUAUCAAGCUGCUCAAGUUGCCAAUAUCAACUGGAAUGUUACCCCUGAUGUUCGAAUUUCUUAAAUUAACAUAUAGGAGUGACGUAGAGAGAUUCCCACGAGAAGCUGGAAUCAUGGUGUUUAGUGGAUUUCCUGCCAAGUAUAAUCUUGUCAAAUUUCUAAGAUUAAACAAGCAAGAGAGAGUGCUUGCUGCUUAUGGAGUAGAAGCAUGAAUUGUCAAAUUAUUCGAGUGCAGGUUUUUCAGGGAACAUAGCGUGGUAGGAAGAAUCCCGGUAAAUGAGUUUGUGUUCAUGUCUAGCUUCCAGAGCUUGGAAGCAUUGGAGAGGUUAGGGAGUAUUCCAGCCACGAGGUUACUUCUGGCUACAUAAAGGAUUUCUAGGUUUGGACCGUUAAGAGUCUUAACUUAAGACCGCUGUUUGCUGGGAGGCUACUUGAGAGCUGAUUGAAAGAACGCCCUAUUUCUCUUAUCAUGCAGAGAUUGAAGAGUUUGGAUGGGAUGACGCCACUGAGAUUAUUAAUAACAAGUCCCAAAAUCUCUAACUACGGAAGAUUACCAAUAUCAUCCGGUAUUGUAUCUGUUAUAAUUUCAGCACAUUUGCAUUAAAUUUUUAACUUCAAUUUAACUAAAAACUAAAAGCGAAAUGAUUAUCAAACAAUCCUAAAUUUACUACCUAUUAAAUUAUUGUCAUUAAGAUAAAUCUUGGUUAAGUAGGUCAAAUUGCCAAGACUUUUGGGUAUGCUUCCAAGGAAAUUGUUAGACCCUAAUAAGAUUUCACAAAGCUCUUUGCAUUGCCACAGUUUGGAGGGAAUAAGACCGUCAAACUGGUUUCGACCCAAAUUAAAUCGUCGAAUACUCAGAAGAUGCUCACAUAUAUUUUUCGGAAGACUGCCACUAAUAUUGUUUCCAUAUGGAGCCAAAGUAGUCAAAGAAGAUAUGUUGAGGACAGGCACAAUAGCAGAGCCUUUUAGGGCAUUGGACUGCGCAUACAACUCCUCCAGCUGAUCUAAACUACCCAUCUCGUUUGGAAAUUCUAUAAAUCAAUCAGUAUAUAUUGUUAAAAUCAUGUAAACAUAUAUAGGAGUUGCUUCUUAUUAGGAAUCCUGUUCUACCGUAGCAAAAGUGGGAUAAUAUUAUAAGGACCAUGUACAACUAUAUAGGUUCUCUUUUUGCUCCAGCAUACGAGGGUCUUACAUAGUAAAUAUACGAUCCCUAUGAUAGUCCUCUUAUUGUAUUUUUGCUAAAGUGGAACGAGAUUCCUGCUAAGAAGGGGCUCGUAUCUAAACUACUUACUACCUCAAUCAAAACUACAUGAAAUUACAAUUUUAACACCCAAACCAAAACUGCACAAAAAUAAAAAAAACUAUGGGUAAUUUAGUAAGGGCUGUGCUAUCCACACACCCCAUUUUACUUCUCACACACCCCUUGAUAAUUUAUGUAUGUUGAUAUUCUUCAAUUGAUUCGAUCCGACGGCCGAAAAUUAAAAAGGUUUGUGAGAAGUAAAAUGGGAUGUGUGCAUAUCACACCCCUUUAGUAAUUACAUGAACAUAACUUUUGUUGUUAUUUAGGGCAACCUCACAGCUAGGUCACCAUAGCAUGCCAUAUUUAAAAAUUAAAAAUAAAAUAAAAUAGUAAAUAAAAAACAUGCCUACUUUAGAAGAAACUGCUCAUCAUUUUCCCAAUUUUUAUAAGGGGUGUGCUAUCCACACAUUUUUUUACUUCUUACACAUUCCUUGUUAAUUUAUGUCCGUUGAUCUUCUUCAUUUUAUCCGAUACUACGGCUGAAGAUUAGAAGGGUGUGUGAAAAGUAAAAAGGGUGUGUGGAUAUCACACCCCUUUUUUUAUAAUUGAUUUAUUGUUUUAGAAUUUUAAAAACUAAUCACACUACUUAGUAAAAAAAACAAAAUGAAAUGAAAUUAUACAAAACCUAAGUCAUACAGUAUACCUUCGAACUUCUUGUCGUCAAGGUUUAUGCAAUUCACCAUUGUUAAGUUGCCUAUUUCUCUGGGUAUGCUACCUGUUAAAUAUGUGCAUGGAUUCCAACAAAAAAGAAGGCAAAAAAAACGAAGGAGAUGAUUGUUAUACAUCUUAUAUAUAGAUGUUAAAAUGUAAUCAUGAAGCAAGCAACAUUAAUUUAUAUUCCUAGCUGUUGGUAAUGGUGGUACGUACGUACCUGAUAGUUGGUUCGUGCUCAAACUAAUCAUUUCGAGUGCAGAUAAGUUGAAGAUAGCAGCGGGUAUGAAACCAGAGAAGCCAUUACCGUACAAUUUGAUGGUUUGAAGUUUAGGAAAGGACCCAAAUCACGAAGGAAUGGUUCCCAUAAAGCUGUUGUUUCCAAAGUUAAUUGCCUUCAACCGGCGCAAACGAGACAGUUCUUGCGGUAGGGAACCAUGAAAGCUAUUAUUCUUAAGGCCUAACUCAACGAGAAAUGAGUGGUUGCCUAGAUGCGGAGGAAUAACUCCGGCAAGACCCAUGUGCGAGAGAUUUAAGGCCGUUACUCUGUGGUGGCGAGCACCGCAGCUAACGCCAACCCAGUUGCAAAUGUCGGAAUUGAAGGCAAACGACCAGUUGGCGGUCAAGAUGUUUUGAGGGUCACUAGUGAUGUGAGCCUUGAGAGCAAGAAGCACAGACUGAUCUGUGCUGAAAUUGGUAUGAGAUAUUGCUAAUGCACCUGCAGUUAAGUAAUUAGCCAUAAUCAUCAUAUAGAUAUAACAUAAACAGUGUAUCAUCGACAACAUUUUUGAUGGUAGGAACCGACUUCUCUCCUUAAUUGUAGUAGUUUUCGUCUUUCGGUUUAAAUUCGAUCGAAAACUAGAGCUCAUUACAUUCACAUAAAUAGGGAAACGAGUUGGUGUUACCAAGACUUGUGAACGACAUAGACUUGCCCGGCGUCUAUGUCAAGGUGAGGAGACUUAGACUAGUCGAACGAAGACGAGUGGCAAGGAACACCUACCAUUCAUUUUUUGGAUUUUUUAACAUAUCAAACACACACCAUUCAUUUUUUACUGAUAGCUUGAAGGUGGCGUACGCCGUAAGCAACACCUACCAAUUGCAACUUGGAAGUGAGCAACGAGUGGUAAGGAUGUUUUGGUCUGUGGUGGUGAUAUUUGGUAAUUGGUGCUGCUAGCCGACGAGUUCUGUCCAUUUUGUGGUCACGGCUGGAGAUGCCCAAAUGUGGAAUUUUAGUCUUCAGUUCACCAUCAAAACAAACAACACCAUAAAUUUCAAGAUUGAUAUUUAAUGAUGACAUACAUUUUGAUUCAAAUGCAAAUGCAAAUGCGACCAAACACAUAACAGUUACAUUCUUCCGGAUGAAAUAUCUUUGCCGACAUUUACAUAUAAUCAAGCUCUAGUUGAACACUCUUCGGAUUCGAAAAUCAUCUAAACUUGGCUAAUCAGUUUUUUCUGAACAGAACAAACCAAAGAUGAUACGCAAACGGUCCAAGAAUUACGGUCUUAUGCUUCUAAAUUAUUAAUCAUGAUCGCAUGCAGACUUGCUAUUGGAGACGCUCUGAAUAUGCAAAGGCUUCUUAUAUGACUGCAACAAGAGAGAACAUACCACGCUUAGAGAUGAAGCAGGCAUGCACCUGCAAGCCAUGGUGGUAAUCGAAUUCCAGUGAAAGGGAACAAAACUCCAGCCGCCACCGGCAUGCUGAGGAUAUUGUAGCCCAGGGCGACAUAAUUCAAUCGAAUUCGAGACAUGGUCUUUCUAGAGAGAUCAAUGGCUGUAACUACAUCUUCCAAGUUGCUCUUCCUCAGAACUAUAAGCAGCUUAUAUAGCUAUGUCGGUGCCAGCACCAAUUGCCAUGCCAACAUCUCCUGCAACCAUAGCCGGAGGGUCAUUAAUUCCAUCUCCCAUCAUUGCCACCGCCAUUCCUUUCAUCUGCAUCCAAAUCGACUUUAACAAGUCAGAAAACACUAUGUUAGAUAACUCACAUAUCAAGUCAGAUACAAACUUAAUAUAGAAAAAUGUGUUUGAAGAUUUCUAUAAGACAUUAUUUUACCCUAGAUAAGUCAUUUGAAAUAUAAUUUAGUAAUCCUCAAUCUGCGUUCAAAACCAGAACAAAAUUACUUGUGGAGCUGGGUAAUUGUAAUCCACUCACACCACCCCUGUAACUAUUAUAUAAUCGUAACUGUAAUUCUUUGAUUCUAUCAGCUUUUCAUAGUGGAUCCGUCUCAGCACACCUUAUCAAUGCCAACCUCCAUCGCACUGGCUGCCGCUGUAGCCCAGUUAUCACCAGUAACCAUGAUGCUUGUAAUGUUUAUCGAGUGAAGAUAAGAGAUGACUCGUGCAGCCUCUGGCUUCACUGGGUCAGUUACAGCAAAAGACCCAGCAAUCUUUCCAUCAAUGGACACCAACACACACCUUCGAGCCAGAUUAUCAUGUUCUGAAACAUACUUGUCAACCUCAGGACCAACCUGGACAUUAUUUUCCCGCAUGAGCCUCAGCAAUCACCAUUUACCUACAUAUUUCUCAAAUAGAGGCAUGUUAGCAUGAUUGACAAAAUAAUAACAAUAAGUUGUCUCAUCUGUAACUUUACAAACUUCAAACUUUUCAUGAACAAAUUUGAAACAUAAGCACCAACCUCUGUGACAAUAGACACAGCA